UUCGACGAGGGUGUGUCAAAACUCAGCUAGGCGCUUCGGUGUCAACUGGUAAGAAGUUAGUGCCGUAGGAAGCUAGAUAAUUGGUGACAUGUAUAGCAUCAUAAUUUGUAAACUACAACUUAGUGAUUUUGUUUUAGAGGUAACAAUUGCGGUAUCAUAUUCACUGAUUGUUUUUUCAUAAAAUAGUUCAUUGGGUGCUAGCUAUCCCUGAAGACUGGUUGUUGUACAUACUGGCUGCUGUACAUAUUUCAGAAUAUUUGGCUGCUUGCUAGAGAGUGCAUACUGGCUGGUGUACAAAUUUCAGAAUAUUUGCAGUACAUAAAUAUCUUAUGAUGUUAAAAAUUCACAGUGGUUCCUUCACUACCCUCCUCAUUCGGUGUUCCACCUCACCACUCCCCAGCAGUGGGAGCAGAGCAGCCGACGGGUUCCUGGCUUACCUGCCUUGCAAAGAGGUAGUCAUGACUGAACCUGAAAAAAUGCUGCUUCCUGUAUACAUUAGUAGAGGAAAAAAAUGACUUGAUUUCUGUAGGAGUGUCUUGUGGAUUAAGUGGAUAUGUAAUGUCCUUUAAAAAAAGUGGAUAGGUAAUGUACUAUUCUUGAUUGCAGCUGGUGCUUUUUUGGAAAUUUGAUAACACCACAAGCAGCAAUCGAUUUUGAAAGCCAAAAAAUAUCCAAGACAUGUACAGUGGGAAUACUACCAGUUUAGGAGCAAAGUAACCAUUACUAGAGUAAUGAAUAUGAGAAAUGAAUAGUUGAUGAAACUGAGCACUGUUGUAAUUCUCGACAGUGAAAUGGUCUUUUUUGUCCCAGUAAAGGUUGGAGGCAGAAUCAGCUUCAAUCUCGAGUACCCAAUUGUAGAGAAGAUGAAAGGAGGCACAACAUAUAUGGAAGUACGAACUCUGGCAGUAACAAUUUUAUGUUUCCAAGUUAGGUUGAUGAUAUUCAACUUAAUAGAACCCAAACUUUUGUUGUUGAGUUCAAUAUACAGUGUCCCGUGUAUAGUUUUUAAGGUGUCAUGUUUCUCAAGAGAAUACAUCUGCACGUAAGGAACUAGCUACCAGUAUCAAUCUAAAUGAACAAGCUCAUAAGCGCCUUUGCUUUUGAUUCAUUCGUUUUAUACUUUUGUUGGAGCAUAGUUCCAUUCAUAUUUGUGAUAUACUUAUUUUUCUGUAUCACUUACAAUUUUUGCUUAGCAAAGUGAUGUCCCUCUUGAAUAAUCAUAUGCUGCUAUCCGUUCAGACAUUGCACUUAGCAAAUGUAAUCUUUUAUGGGAUUAGAUGUGAUUUUCUGUUUCAUUAUACUGAUUGUGACAUCAAUGGGAUAUUGCGUACAAUGUUCUAAUGUUAAGAUGUUGUAAGUACUCACUGUGGUUUCGACAUGAUGCUUGGUAUAUGGAGUCUAUAGCAUCAAUGUGAUGCAUAAGCCUUUCCAAAUUAAAUCAACUUGUCUGAAUUCUUUCCUCUCUUAUCGCAUGCUUAAGUUUCUUGCUCGUGUUUAGUAUGAUGCGCAAGAGAGUUGAUGCCCACCGAGUUCCAGCUCUGAAAGAUGUGCAUCUCAUUAUACCUAAAGCACACCCCAAGUAGCAAAUCCUGAAUGUGAUGAUGUCUUUUUUUCUUCUGCCGUCGUCGAUUACCAGCUCGUGUUCCAAAAAACAAAGACAACUGACUACCUUUCAAACCACUAAAGCAUAUUAUUUAGUUUUUCUAACGCUCAAGAUAAUGAUAAUGCAUAUAUCUACAAGAACUGGUCUGAUUAUUUUGCUUUUAGUUUAUUGCACUCAUGGAAUGCGAAGGAACUAAAUCUACCAAUUUGCAGGGUCAAUAUUCAUUAUUUCAUGAUUUUAUGUUCUACUAUGCAAAAACUUAGAUUGACUUGCUAUUUUCAUUCAGGAUGGUGACCAGAUAAGGAAGCAAUUUUUGGUGCACCUACUCAACUACAUCAACAGUGAAGCUGCACACAACAUUUCGGAUGUUUGAGAGAAUUGAUCAGCUUCAUCAGGAAAUACCGCUAUAAUUUUUUGGCUCUAUGAAUACAAUGAGUCGAUGAUACAUUGAAGUGUCUUCUUGAUUUAUAAUAGUACUUUUUAGUGCAAUCAAAAUAUCUUUCUAGUAUGUUAAUUCUUAUAUAUAUAUUAGUUGAGACGUGCAUUUGCACGUGCACGCUUACUAGUCUUAAAAAUGCAUUUCACUCUCUGACUCUCAUUAGCCCGGCCUGCUCUCCUCGCCACAUCGUCGUCGCUGCCAUCACUCCCCUCCACGACAUCUCACUGCAGCCUCCCCUUGACACCACUUCAUUCAGCCCGCACCUUCUUUUCACCACUGUCUUCUCCUCCACGGCAUUGCCCGCUCCUCUUCUCUCCACCAAUAUAUGCACUCUCAUGCAAGUUGUUGCCAAAUGUCUGCUCAAUCAAGUGACUCUGGAUUUUCUUCUAAUAUUCAGUCAUGUUAGCAUAUAUGAUUAUUUCUUUCGUGGGAGCAUGUAUUCUACAUCCUCCUCCACCCCCCUUAAAAGGAGUGGACGCAAAAUGGCAUGAAGCUUUGAGACAACAAGGACUCUUUUCUUCUCAUCAGUUUCUUCCUCUUGUUCCUCAUCAAACUUCCAGAAAAAUCAAACCUGUAAAACGAUCGCCGCCAUCAGUGGAUGGCAAUAUCACAUGUUUAGGGACCAUCUGAAUAGUUCUAAAUAAUAUAUCCAUAUUACUUUAUCCAUCGGCAUACCACAUACAUCAUAGCAAACACGACAUAUUAACAGACAACAUAAAAAUAGUACAACUAAAGCUCAACUAAAAACUAAUACACAAUUUGACAGACAUGGCAUAUCUGUGUCAGGUACACAACAUAAAUCAGAAGACGAAAUGUCAUAACAUAUGUCUGCCAUUGCAGAUACUCAUAUCAACUAAAGCUCCUUAUGAUUUACACAGCCCAAUUUUACAAUAAAGAACACCCGUAUACAAAGCUGUAUAACCACAACUGGCUGCUCUGGAACAUGAGGUCCUUUCUCCUCUGCCAUGGUUCAUGCAUUCUUCCUUUUUGAAAAGCGGAUAAGAUGGUAGUACCUCGUUUUUUUUAGAAUAAUCCAUGAGGGGUUGUAAUUGUUCUAGCCUGCAAUGCCACUAUUGUGACCAGCCAUUUAUAUAUUCUUAAUAAAUGUGUAGUGCCCCAGCCAAGUUACUACAAUUCGGCUUAUACUAGGAAACUGAUAUCUCAACAAAUUAAGGACCAAUAUACUUUAAAGAAACCUGACAAAUGCCAUAUCUGUGCAGUUAGAUACAUAUAUUUAUUGACUAUCAGUACAACAUCCAGGCAGUGAGAAAGCUAAACCUUUGAAAGCUAAACAAAUGUUACAUUGGAUAAUCCAGGUAACUUAUAUAUAACUACAACAUAAAACUGUAAAACACAAAGAAAAGGCAUGAGACGGCAACCAGUUACUGCAAAACAAAACUAAUUCAAGGAUUCUAAGACAAAUGAAAAAAAACACAUACAGAAAUUGCAGAUUAGAUGGUAGGAAAUGAAUCAUACCAUGAAUCAAAUUCGUCAUGGGAUGAGAAUAUAUCAGGAAAAAUGAAAUUCAGUAGCGACCACAAGUCUGCUAGAUUAUUCUAAAGAGGUGUUCAAGUCAAAAGGAGCUUGUUAUCCAUUGAAAUGCGCCUCAACUCCCUCAAUAAUUUGCACUUUGCAUUUUUCAACCGAUGCCCCUGGAAAAAAGAAUCCGGCCAACACGUAAAUACAUGGGGAAGGGAGAGACAUCUACAAGAACAAUAAUUCAGAUCAUGUGCUAUUCCAUUACCUCAUCUACAACAACAUACUUCCACUUAUAAUUAGCAAGAAAAUUUUGCAUCAAACAUGGCCAUCUCAUAUGAAGUGAUUAUUGUCGGAAAAUCAGGAUCAACAGUUUUGGGCAUGUAUUUUCUCCUUUGCUUUGUCCGAGCCGCUUUAUCUCCAUGGACAUUAUGAGAUCAAGCUUCCCCAUCUAAAGUUAAUCAAGGGGAAACAACGACCAGAUGAGAUAAAUAAGCUCACUUCCAAAGUAGGUCAACGACAAACAUCCGGUCUCCUCCUUGCCGAGCCGCCCUCAGUAAACAUUACCCUGUUCAUCAAGUCGACAAGCUUCCUCUCGCUGCAAAUCCAACAUGAUUCAUCCUCUUCCUAACUAAGCAGCAAAUUGAUACAUUACCUUAGAGAAUAGGGAAGCGCCAGUCAUAUCUCGUGUAGGUAGGUAAAAUUCACUAAAUGAUGAUAUUAUAGAAGCAAAUUUUGUAAAGAACAAAAAAUAACAGAGACAUGGGAGCAAUCACCAUGGACCAGCCAAGAAAAUGUCGAUCGCCUUGGUCCCGGAGUUGGCCAUGGAGAUGGUGCCCUUGCGCUGUGCUUCAGUGCCUCGCAAACUCCCGUCCUUGAUUUGGUUGUGGACGUCGGAGUGUACAAUACAGACUGUUAGCAGUAGCAAAGGUCCAUGGAAGUGUCUGUGAGCCAGAGAUAAGUGCCAUGUAAAACCGACACAAACUUAUCUAAUCAAAACGGCACUAUAUAUUGAGAAAUUGCUGGUGUGUGAGAGAUAAUCGCUAGUGUUAUUCAACCUCUGGACAGCUUGCAGAUUGUGUGAAGAAUCAGAUAAGUCCCACCAAAGCAUGUGGCCGAUCUUGCUCUAGCCCUAUGUAAACGGACAAUAAAUUUACCUCGCUCGUCGGCCUUAGCCUGUGGCCGAUCUUGGGUCGCGAACCACCCUGCCAGGCCUGGCCCCCCAUGAACCGGCUGCCCUCUAUGCCCCCCGGCUCUGGCCCGACCUCCUCCGGCCAGGUCUGCACCCUCACGCCCCUUCCAUUAGCUCGUCGUGCCGCCACCUGACCUCGCCUCCGAACUCCUGAGGCCUGGGACAUCCUCCUUCAGUGCCUCGCCGACCGGCCACCAAAUCCCAGCUGCUCAACCUGACCUCCGCCAGCCGCCGGCCACCUUGCCAUGGAUAUCGAGGUUGUCAUGGCCGAGGCGCGUGGGUACCGUCGUGGCUGCUCGGCGUUUCGUGCGGGCAGAGAGGGAUACAUUGCAAUGACGAGGGUAGCAGGCGGCGAGUGGAGUGGCCGACAUCGGUGCGAGCAAGCAAGCUCGUUGCGCGCCAGGGCUGGGCGGCGGCGGCAUGGUGAGGGGAGAGGAAGAUUGGAUCGAGAUGGAAGAGGAGGGGCGGGGUGGGGUGCGGCGGCUAGGUAGGGGUCGCUGGUUUAUUUCUUCACCUUUUUUUUCUAGUGGGAUGGAAAAGAUAGAUGGAUGAGGAGGAUGUGUGAUCGGUGGGAGCUAUCGAUCGAUGAUGGGCAACGAAGCCAAACGAGACGAAAGGACAACCGCCGUACCAUGACUCCUCUUUUAGGAAUAGAGAUAUAUUUUUAAAUUUUCAUAUCAAUGGAUUCGGUCAAUCUGACAUUCUUAAUAUCAUGUGCAUGUUAUUGUUCAAGUGUCCGAUUUUAUGUUUUGUUGAUUACUAUCAGUAAAUGAAACCAGUGAUUAUAACCCUUGGAACACAAAUUUGCUUAUUUUAGAUGAGGCUGUUUGAACCUGGUAUCUAGGCAAAAUUGGCUACAUGACACUCUAAAUUCGUAGUAUUUACUCUAUCGUACUAUAAAUUCAUUGCUUGCCAAGACAUACUGUAAGCUUGCAUCGAUUUGCCAAUAUGCACUCCUCCUACUAUAUUAACAUUAUCCGACUUGGGAGUGUGAAAAGCAUGUAAAAAGUCUGUUUUACCAUUUUCUGUAAAAAAUAUAUUAACAUGUUAAUAGCUGUACACAACUCUGCCUAUGUUGUCUCAACAUAGCCGGUCCCAAGAUCGGGUAAAGAAGAGGGUUGUGAUAGGCUUGGCGAGCCAACGUAAAAACUCAGCCACUCUUAUGGAGAUGAAACCCAAAAGAUUUUCGUUGGGGCGUAACCCUUUCAGUGACGCGCCACACCGGAACCCGGGUGUGGUGUCAAUGGGCAAGGGCCGGGCCGUCACCCCCGGUGGCGCGUUGUAUCUUGAUCUGGAUACGAGGGCAAGUGAGCGAGGAUCGGGUCGUCGCAUCCUUAGUGGCGCGCUAUAUCGGCGCCUGGAUGUAGUGGAAAAUGAGCAAGGGUCUUCGCAUUUGACUCGACGAGUGCGAAGGGUAAGGAAGCUAGCCGAGCCUAGGAGGAUCCGCUUAGGUAGCUGGAACGUAGAGUCUCUGACAGGGAAGCUUCGGGAGCUAGUUGAUAGAACGGUGAGGAGAAGUGUUGAUAUCCUUUGCAUCCAAGAAACUAAAUGGAGGGGACAAAAGGCAAAGAAGGUGGAGGAUACCGGCUUCAAGCUGUGGUACACGGGCGACUGCAAACAGAAAUGGCAUAGGCAUCUUGAUCAACAAGAGCCUCAAGUAUGGAGUGGUAGACGACAAGAGACGUGGGGAUCAGAUUAUCCUGGUCAAGCUGGUAGUUGGGGACUUAGUUCUUAAUGUUAUCAGCGCGUAUGCCCCACAAGUAGGCCACAAUGAGAACACCAAAAAGGAGUUCUAGGAAGGCUCGGAGGACAUGGUUAGGAGUGUACUGAUUGGCAAGAAGCUCUUCAUAGGAAGAGACCUCAAUGGCCACAUGGAUACAUCUAACACAUGUUUUAAAGGGGUGCAUGAGGGCUUUGGCAUCAGGAAUCAAGAAGGAGAAGAAGUCUUAGCUUUGCUCUAGCCUACGACAUGAUCAUAACUAACACCCUCUUUAAAGAGAGAAUCACAUCUAGUGACUUUUAGUAGUGGUCAACACUCUAACCAGAUUGAUUUCAUCCUCUCGAGAAGAGAAGUUAGGCGUGCAUGCCUAAAUUGUAAGGUGAUACCUGAAGAGAGUGUUGUCCUUCACAAUAAGCUGGUGAUUGCUGACUUCCGCUUUCAGAUUCGUGUCCAGCGGUGUCGUGGAAUUGUCACGGCAGAUGUCCUAGUGUGAGGACUUAGUCGUGAGGCCAACGCAUCUUUGUAGUAGCUUGAGAGAGGUUGAGCGGAAUCGAGAGACGCAACACAAGACAAGGAUUUAGACAGCUUCGGGCCCCGAGAAACAUCGUCCGGUAAUAGCCCUACAUGUUGUUUGUGACUAGAUCUCAUUAUGCUCAUGAGAGAGUCGCGGCAUAAGCCGGCUCCCCUUUAAUUGUGUCUAGCCAUAGAGAUUGUUUCUUGUUGCUUGUCCCCUCUUUGGGGUGCCCUGCCCCUCCUUAUAUAUGUUGAAGGGGCGGGUUACAUGACUAGUCCUAUUAGGAUUAAGAUUACUCUAUUGCAAGUGGAGUCCUAGUCUUGCUUCCUUUGUAGAAGAAUAUUCUUUAUGUCUUUCCUCUUAAUCCGGCCCAUCAUAACAUGAGCCGGAUUCUGGGCUUUGGGCCUUGUCAUCCAUCUGAAACACCCGCCGGGUCACCCAUGAGUCUUCAGGUUCGUGAGUCAUCACACCAGUGAGCCGCCAGAUCCGUGAGUCGCUAAUGCCCUGGCGAGUUACCAAUGAAACACCAAGUCCAACGGUCAAACAUCCGGCCGGGUUCCACUGCAGGGUAUAUCUCUGACAUUAGCUCCCAGUUUAAUUUGGAUUUAUCCAUGUUAAAUUGAUCCUGCAAAAUAAACACUAGAACAACUUUGACAAGUUGUGCUUUGGGUUAAAAAUUCUUGUAAGUCGGUACCCGAUCAUCUUUAAAUCCUUGUCAUUUCCUUUUUGAUACAUGCCCAUGAACUCAUAGCAAAUAUCCUUUAGUAUAUAUGUUCAAACUUUGUGAAUGCAAAAAAUCCAGAUACUUCUUUUGAGAAAUCCGGGUCAAUAGGCCAGCUUCAGAGUCAAUUUGCUGGCAUUGGUCUCUUGUAGAGAAAUAUUGUAAAAAAUAAUCCAUUUGAAUCGGCUUCCAAAGCGCUAGCUUAAAAAAUAUUGGUCUUGAAAUACUCAUCUGACUUUUAGCCGGCUUGAAGAGGUAAAACUUGCCGGUUUAUCAUUACCAAAAUUGUCGGGUUAUAAAACAGACGAUGUCGGGCCAUAAUUGUUGUUGAUACCGGGUCAUAUAAUUGAUCUUCCUGAUUUGCUCAAAACUGAUAAUUUGAAGACGUUUCUCCUUUAUAUGCAUAAUACCCGUAGCCCCCAAGUCUUAAGAGGAGAACAUAGUGAUAACUUAAGACUUGCUCCAAUAUAAGCGUUGCAACCUUGAAGAAAUCCGGUUUGUUCCCCUCAAUCAUAUAAACUGAAUAUUCCACACAUGUAGCCCCCAAGUGCCGGUUUGUCAUGCUUGCAACAACUUGGGAGUUGUAAUUGCUUUAUGCUCAUAAAAACUUCAACCAGUGUAGCCCCCAAGGGCCGGGUUUUUAUGCAAUAAUGAGAAGGGACUUUGUAGAUAUGUUCAUGUAAACUUGAGCAGCAACGUGUAGCCCCCAAGGGCCGGCUCAGUAAGAUAUUACUGAGCUGUGACUUUGUAUAUGAUUCAUUGAUAAUAACAUCAUAUGAUGUAAUCUCCACCAUGGGGCUUGAACCCACUUCCACAAGGUUAAGAGCUUUAUACUCUACCAACUGAGUAGUGGAUCUUUCAAUAUAAUAGAUUAAGGCUUGUGUACCUUAAAUUUUCAACACGAGCAAUUGGUAGCCCCCAAGGGACGACUCAUUUAGAAUGUGAUGAGUCGGGUCUUCAAUAAGUUGAGCAAAAAAUGACUUUGCAUUAGCCCCCAAGUGCCAUGGUGCAUGCUGGCAGUGACAUGGGACUUGCAUAUUCAAUGUAAUUUCAAUUUGAAUAAUGUAGCCCCCAAGUGCCGGGUCGUAAGCCUGUAGCGACUCGGGACUAUUCCCUCCAUUGUAAAAAUAAAUCAUGUCCAUUAAUAAAAUAAUAACCAUUGCGCUGAAGCGACUUUGAAGACCUCCAUCCAUAAUAUUGGCUAUUGAUAACCAUAAUAAAAAUCCAGCCAUGUUGGCUAUUAAAGAUUCGAAUAAUAUAAUCCGGUUUGGAAAAGCGAUUCCUGUGAUAUUGAAUCAUACUGCCGGUUUAGGAUACCUGUGCAAUAAGGGUGAUAACCCAAUCUUUAGAAGCCAAAACUUCCAAAUGUUUAUGAUUAUCAUAUAUGGCGACUUAUCAUCUGAAGUCAAGCCGGAUUAAUCGAAACCACAUAUAUGCUUCAGAUAUGAACAAAAAGGUCUCAAGACAAAACCAAAGAUUGUUUUCAAAAAACUUAAGCCAAACAGAGAAAAAAAUGAGGUUUCUGAUUCGAAUACGAUCAGUAAACCGGACCAAAAGGGGUUAAACUAGGAUUCGAAUACGAUCAUGAAGCCCCCUAGUGGUUUUGGCGUUGCGCCGAUCAAGAGAGUACCAACAGCUAUGUUCUCUUUGGUUCGAAUAUGACCUAUGUUUGAACAGGAAGCCCCCAAAUGACCUUGAGAGUUUUUUAACGACUCUGAUUCAAAUACAAUCAAAGUCGGACCCAAAAGGGGUUAAGCUAUGAUUCAAAUACGAUCAAGAAACCCCCUAGUGGGUUUGGCAUUGUGCCGAUCAAGAGGGUACCGACAGCUAUGUUCUAUUUGGUUCGAAUAUGACCUAUGUUUGAACACGAAGCCCCUAAAUGAUCAUUGAAACGGGGCACCUAUGUUUGAGUUGUGCUUUGCAACAGGCUCUCUUUGGUCCCUUUAAUUUUUCUGAGAACUCAAACUUGUGAGUAAUGAAUUCUUCUUGAACCGGGCGUUGAGUCGAAUAUUAAAAGCUUCAGAGCUUUGUGGGCCGGAUUUUAAACCCGAUGUUGAGCUUCAAUGCUUUGUGAGAGACAAAUUUCUCUUGAACCGGAUUUUAAACCGGAUUUUUUCUUCAUUUUGGGCCGGAAAUUUUCUGAUGGCCUUUAAACUGGCAACAUUUACUGAGCCAUGUCAUCAUAGCCCCCGAGUCUCAAGGCGACUUGAGGAGUUGGCUUGAGAUUCUCCAUAAUUAACCGUGAUAUAGACCGGUUUGAAUCCUGCAUGGGACAACUUGCAAACCAAAGUAAUUGCUCUUUUAAAGAAAGCAAUAUGUAAAAAAUAUACUGGAUGGAUUUCACCUGAUAUGUUAAGCCAGAAAUUAUCCACCGCAGAGUUGAUGAUCACCACGGUAACGCUGAAAUUAAUCACGACCGAGUCAGCUACGACGUUGUAAGCCGGUGCGGAUGGGCGAGUCAAUCGCAGGCACGGUCCCGGUGAGUCAAAGUAGUCUGGGCCGCAGGGGCGGCGUCUUGUGCAUGUUCAUUGAGCAACAAUCCAAUGUGAUCCCGGCAAGCUGAUACAUACCGGGCUGCAACGGCGGCGGCUUGCGCGCGUCCAUUUACCGCGUAAUGUGGCACGAACGAACGCCGGGUGCAAUGUUGCCAGAACGUGCUCCGUACCCAUGGUAUAAACCACUUUUGUAGUGAACAAAUAUCCUACGUACAAAAAAUACAGCAGAGCAGAGAAGUUGUUUGUCGAAGGAAAUCAACAUGUACUUAACAAAAUAUACAGUAUAAAUAUCAUCUCAUUGUAGGCGACGGAUGAUCAAUAUAUGGCAUCCGUAGAUAACCAAAAAAAAUCGUGUUGAUCCUUUCAAGGGCCUUACCAGAGUUUGCCGUAGUUUGUAUAAUCUUCGCUGCGUGCAACUGCAGUAUCGUCGUCAUAAUUAUCUCCAAGAAAUUGGGGCAUAUCUAUCCUCGGGGACACCUCGUAUAUCUUCUGACAUGAUCCAUUAAGCUUUUUGCAAUUUGGCUUGACGCGAUCAACACUUGUCAUUUGACUGAUGUGAUAUGACCCGCGAUGACCGCCGAACGAUGCAAUCGCCUAGCUGUGGCCGACAUGGACCCAUUGUAGUGCGUGUUUCCUCACAAGACGGAUCAUCCACGGCAGGCGGCGGCUCUCAACGCGACGGCUCAGGGCCGCGGGCGCGAGCUCACGUGAGGGCAACUCAAGGUGGUCGUGGACCGCAGCGACUUGAGACGCCCGUGGGCCGCGGCCGCUUGAACCCAUUAAUGCUCUAGCAGCUCGCGGAGCAAGUUUGAGCAGGAACGGCGUGUUACAGCGCCGGAAGUGGCUGGUCGUCAGAGGCGGCCGAGGCGGCUUGAGGAGCCGAGGUAUGACCGGCCCGUGGCGCGUUCGUUGACUGCGCGACGGAGACGGCUAGGUUGGCCCGAGGUGAGGCGGGCGCAAACUCAAGGCGACGAAGGCUGGGAUGGCUUGGCGAUGAAAACGACGAUGACUUGAGGCGGAACAGCAAGGCGGCAAAGUGACCCGAAACAGGGACGACUCAAAGUACAUGGAGAGGCCAGCUUAGCAACGAGGCAGGCCGUCGCGGCUGUUCUCCACAGAGAUAAGACGGCCGACUGCUCUUCCGCUACAGUUGAAGCUGGCGGCGGCUCUCCACAGAGAUAAGUCGGCCGACGGCUCUCCCGCUGUAGUUGAAGCUGGCGGCGGCUCUCUCCCUCAAUAUACUACUGUGUUGGUUUCGUGACACAGUGAACUUCCUGGUUUGCCAAUACUCUCAACCGAAUCCCCAUGACUUUGGUGGUGUGGAGGCAACGGCUCAGACGCUAGCGGCGGGCCUCGGAGGCACCGGACCACAACAGACACGGAGACUGCAAUGGCAGCUUUGCCCCUACUACAAUUUAAGCAGGUGGCCGGUCAUGCGGAGUCGAGGCGGCUUGAUAGUAGAUAUAAGCCGUAGUGGCGGUUUGAAGACGGCACUAGGCCGAUGCUUAGGGCGGCGGCCGACUCUAGGCCGUUGAGGCCACGUCGGUGGUUUAGCAACAAGGCCGCGAGGGCGACUUGAGCUGCAGCUGGAGAGGAGGACGCGGUCGCAUCCGGUCACGGCAGCAAGCCGGCCAAGGGGUCACCCAGAGGCCGGUCAACACGGGGCAGCUCGGAGUUGACGGCGACGCUGACUUACUACUGCCGCGGCUGAUGAGGCAAGACGUGAUGGCAUUGGCGGCUUGUGGCGACGAGGCGCAGACCGAGGCCAGCUUUAUGUGGCUGUUGCGGCGAAUGGCUCGCGGUAGAGGCGGAGGCAACUCAUCGGCCGGGGCGGACUCCGAGCGGGGUGAAGAUGGCCGUGCGGUGCGGUGGCUCGUUGUUUGGUCAUAGCCAGGGCAAAGUCCAGACCCUGUUGGUCCUUUGUGUGAUGAUACGGAGUAGUAGUCGGCACAGUUGAUGGAUACGAUUCGGAAGUAGGACUGGAAGUAGCGACAAAACACCUCGGGAUUUAGCGUGCUGGUGAAAACGUGCUGCAACAGGAAUCCAUGGUUUCGGCAAUUUGUGAUUCUGGUGAUCUCGAUGACUCAUGAUGGCUCAUCCACGUUGCCGAACUUAAAACUUCACAGAUCAUAAAUCUGGACCGAUGAACACAAAGUUGACGCAGAUCAGGUGUUUCUUCAUCCGGAAAAUUAUAGACUUCUCGAUCCUCUGAGAAAUCCCUCCAAGAACUCAUCACCACCGUGCGCAUGCCCCACGGUGGGCGUCAACUAUCAUGGAAUUAUCACGGCAGAUGCCCUAGUGUGAGUACUUAGUCGUGAGACCAACGCAUCUUUGUAGUAACUUGAGAGGGGAAUCGAGAGACGCAACACAAGACAAGGAUUUAGACAGCUUCGGGCCCCGGGAAACAUCGUCCGGUAAUAGCCCUACAUGCUGUUUGUGGCUAGAUCUUAUUAUGCUCAUGAGAGAGUCACCGCAUAAGCCGGCUCCCCUUUAGUUGUGUCUAGCCCUAGAGAUUGUUUCUUGUUGCUUGUCCCUUCUUUGGGCCGCCCUGCUCCUCCUUAUAUAUGUUGAAGGGGCGGGUUACAUGACUAGUCCUAUUAGGAUUAGGAUUACUCUAUUACAAGUGGAGUCCUAGUCUUGCUUCCUUUGUAGGAGAAUAUUCCUUAUGUCUUUCCUCUUAAUCUGGCCCAUCAUAACAUGAACCGGCCUUCUGGGUCUUGGGCCUUGUCAUCCAUCUGAAACACUCGCCGGGUCACCCAUGAGUCUUCAGGUUCGUGAGUCGUCACACCAGUGAGCCGCCAAAUCCGCGAGUCGUCAAUGCCCCGGCGAGUUACCAAUGAAACACCAAGUCCGGCCAGGUCAAACAUCCGACCGGGUUACACUGCGGGGUAUAUCUCCGACAAGCGGGAUAAGUGUGCCAAAGUUGCUAGAAUGAAGUGGUGGAAGCUCAAGAGGGAGGUAGCUCAGGCGUUCAAGGAGAGGGUCAUUAAGGAGGGCCCUUGGGAGGAAGGAGGGGAUGCGGACAAUGUGUGGAUGAAGAUGGCGACUUGCAUUCGUAAGGUGGUCUCAGAGGAGUUUGGAGUGUCCAGGGGAAGGAGAAGCGAAGCUAAGAAUACCUGAUGAUGGAAUGAUGAUGUUCAGAAUGCGAUUAAGGAGAAGAAAGAUUGUUUUAGACGCCUAUACCUGGAUAGGUGUCAGAGGGAUUGACCACAGGUAGCCUCAUCAACACCUUAUAGUAUUUCAAGACAUCGGGCCAGCUGCGCCCCUCACACCUUCCAGACGAGAGGCUGACCCUUUGGGUCGUCUUGUCCAAACGGGUCGGCUGCUAGAAGACGGCGUGCCCCAGGGGGCCGGCAUCCAGCAGGCGGCCCUGCGCCUCCUCAAAGUUUGCACCCACUUACUGCGAAGAGACGGGACGUGACUACAGUACAACCUGCCAUCCUCGAAUCCAGGGCGGAACAUGGCCACAAUGCGGACGUGCCAAGCGGACACCCCUCGCCUAGCGCGACAUUCUUGCCACGUAACCCAUGACAUCACCUACGUCAAAGGGUGCCAUGCUCCCACGAUGGGCGGUCGGUACGGCCCGCAGGCGGCGGGCCCUACCUGUCUACGAGCCACUAGAAGACGGCGAAUCCCGAGCAAGCGGCGUCGAGGGUGGGCUGACUCCUAGCAAGCGGUUGUAACACCCUCGAUGCAGCUAUAUCUCCUACGUGUCGAAGCACGACUUAGAGGCAUAACCGCAUUGAAAGCAAUGUCGCAAGUGAGGUAAUCUUCGCAAACAACCCAUGUAAUUCAAUAAGGAAAAAAUACAUAGUUGGCUUACACUCGCCACAUCACACAAAUAUCAUAAAUAGCAUUACAUUCAUCCAAAUACACUCAAGGUCCGACUACGGAACCAAAAUGAAGAUAAACCCCAAAUGCAACAUAGUCCCCGAUCGCCCCAACUGGGCACCACUACUGAUCAUCUGGGAAAGACACAUAGUAACGUCCUGAGUUCUCAUCGAACUCCCACUUGAGCUCUGUCGAAUCACCUGGAAUGGCAUCAUCGGUCCCUGCAUCUGGUUUUGGAAGGAACGUGUGAGUCACGGGGACUCAACAAUCUCACACCCUCGCGAUCAAGACUAUUUAAGCUUAUAGGAAGGGUAAAAUGUAUGAUGUGGAGCUGCAGCAAGCGACUAGCAUAUAUGGUGGCUAACAUACGCAAAUGAGAGCGAGAAGAGAAGGCAAAGGCACGGUCGAUCAACUAUGAUCAGGAAGUGAUCCUAGAACAACCUACGUCAAGCAUUACUCCAACACCGUGUUCACUUUCCAGACUCCGCCGAGAAGAGACCAUCACGGUUACACACGCGGUUGAUGCGUUUUAAUUAAGUUAAGUUCAAGUCUUCUACAACCGGACAUUAACAAAUUCCCAUCUGCCCAUAACCACGGGCACGACUUUCGAAAGUUCAAAUCCCUGCAGGGGAGUCCCAACUUAGCCCAUCACAAGCUCUCACGGUCAACGAAGGAUAUUCCUUCUCCCAAGACAAUCCGAUCAGACUCAGCAUCCCGGUUACAAGACAUUUUGACAAUGGUAAAACUAAACCAGCAAAGCCGCCCGAAUGUGCCAACAAAUCCCGAUAGGAGCUGCACAUAUCUCGUUCUCAGGGCACACUCAGAUGAGCCAGACAUCGGGUAGGCCAGCCCAGAGUUGCCCCUGGUAGCCCCGGACAUCGCUCAGUUGGACCAACACUUAGAGANNNNNNNNNNNNNNNNNNNNNNNNNNNNNNNNNNNNNNNNNNNNNNNNNNNNNNNNNNNNNNNNNNNNNNNNNNNNNNNNNNNNNNNNNNNNNNNNNNNNNNNNNNNNNNNNNNNNNNNNNNNNNNNNNNNNNNNNNNNNNNNNNNNNNNNNNNNNNNNNNNNNNNNNNNNNNNNNNNNNNNNNNNNNNNNNNNNNNNNNNNNNNNNNNNNNNNNNNNNNNNNNNNNNNNNNNNNNNNNNNNNNNNNNNNNNGUUAAAAUAAAGAUGACCCUUGAGUCCGCGAAACCCAAGGGAAAAAGGCUAGGCGGUGAAUGGUAAAAACCAAUGUUGGGCCAUGCUGGAAGAGUUUUAUUCAAGGCGAACUGUCAAGGGGUUCCCAUUAUAAACCAACCGUGUAAGGAACGCAAAAUCCGGGAGCAUAACACCGAUAUGACGGAAACUAGGGCGGCAAGAGUGGAACAAAACACCAGGCAUAAGGCCGAGCCUUCCACCCUUUACCAAGUGUAUAGGUGCAUUAAUAUAAACAAGAUAAUAUAAUGAUAUCCCAACAAUAAACAUGUUCCAACAAGGAGCGAUCUCCAAUCUUCACCUGCAACUAGAAAUGCUAUAAGAGGGGCUGAGCAAGCGGUAACAUAGCCAAACAACGGUUUGCUAGGACAUGGUGGGUUAGAGAUGAAGGAAAUAUGCCCUAGAGGCAAUAAUAAUGUUAUUAUUUUAUUUCCUCAUAUCAUGAUAAAUGUUUAUUAUUCAUGCUAGAAAUGUAUCAUCCGGAAACAUAAUACUUGUGUGAAUACAUAGACAAACCAAACGUCACUAGUAUGCCUCUACUUGACUAGCUCGUUAAUCGAAGAUGGUUAUGUUUCCUAACCAUAGACAUGUGUUGUCAUUUGAUUAAUGGGAUCACAUCAUUAGGAGAAUGAUGUGAUUGACAUGACCCAUUCCAUUAGCUUAGCACCCGAUCGUUUAGUAUGUUGCUAUUGCUUUCUUCAUGACUUAUACAUGUUCCUAUGACUAUGAGAUUAUGCAACUCCCGUUUGCCGGAGGAACACUUUGUGUGCUACCAAACGUCACAACGUAACUGGGUGAUUAUAAAGGAGUUCUACAGGUGUCUCCAAAGGUACAUGUUGGGUUGGCAUAUUUCGAGAUUAGGAUUUGUCACUCCGAUUGUCGGAGAGGUAUCUCUGGGCCCUCUCGGUAAUGCACAUCACAUAAGCCUUGCAAGCAUUACAACUAAUGAGUUAGUUGCAAGAUGAUGUAUUACGAAACGAGUAAAGAGACUUGCCGGUAACGAGAUUGAACUAGGUAUUGAGAUACCGACGAUCGAAUCUCGGGCAAGUAACAUACCGAUGACAAAGGGAACAACGUAUGUUGUUAUGCGGUCUGACCGAUAAAGAUCUUCGUAGAAUAUGUGGGAGCCAAUAUGAGCAUCCAGGUUCCACUAUUGGUUAUUGACCGGAGACGUGUCUCGGUCAUGUCUACAUUGUUCUCGAACCCGUAGGGUUCGCACGCUUAAGGUUUUGAUGACAGUUAUAUUAUGAGUUUAUGCAUUUUGAUGUACCGAAGUUUGUUCGGAGUCCCAGAUGUGAUCACGGACAUGACGAGGAGUCUCGAAAUGGUUGAGACAUAAAGAUUGAUAUAUUGGAAGCCUAUAUUUGGAUAUCGGAAGUGUUCCGGGUGAAAUCGGGAUUUUACCGGAGUACCGGGAGGUUACCGGAACCCCCCGGGAGGUAUAUGGGCCUUAGUGGGCUUUAGUGGAAGAGAGGAGAGGUGGCCAGGGCUGGGCCGCGCGCCCCUCCCCCCUAGUACGAAUAGGACAAGGAGAGGGGGGCGGCGCCCCCCUUCCUUCUCUCUCUCCUCUUUUCCCCUCCUGAAUCCUAUUCCAACUAGGAAAAGGGGAGGAAUCCUACUCCCGGUGGGAGUAGGACUCCUCCUGGCGCGCCCUCCUCCUGGCCGGCCGCACCUUCCCCUGCUCCUUUAUAUACGGGGGCAGGGGGCACCCCUAGAGACACAAGUUGAUCCACGUGAUCAUAUUCUUAGCCGUGUGCGGUGCCCCCUGCCACCAUAAUCCUCGAUAAUAUUGUAGCGGUGCUUAGGCGAAGCCCUGCGACGGUAGUGUUGGAAAUAUGCCCUAGAGGCAAUAAUAAAAGUAUUAUUAUUAUAAUAUUUCCUUGUUCAUGAUAAUUGUCUUUUAUUCAUGCUAUAACUGUAUUAUCUGGAAAUCGUAAUACACGUGUGAAUACAUAGACCACAAUAUGUCCCUAGUGAGCCUCUAGUUGACUAGCUCGUUGUGAUCAACAGAUAAUCAUGGUUUCCUGGCUAUGGACAUUGGAUGUCGUUGAUAACGGGAUCACAUCAUUAGGAGAAUGAUGUGAUGGACAAGACCCAAUCCUAAGACUAGCACAAAAGAUCGUGUAGUUCAUUUGCUAGAGCUUUGCCAAUGUCAAGUAUCUCUUCCUUUGACCAUGAGAGCGUGUAACUCCUGGAUACCAUAGGAGUGCUUUGGGUGUAUCAAACGUCACAACGUAACUGGGUGACUAUAAAGGUGCACUACAGGUAUCUCCGAAAGUAUCUAUUGUUUUAUGCGGAUCGAGACUGGGAUUUGUCACUCCGUGUAAACGGAGAGGUAUCUCUGGGCCCACUCGGUAGGACAUCAUCAUAUGCGCAAUGUGACCAAGGAGUUGAUCACGGGAUGAUGUGUUACGGAACGAGUAAAGAGACUUGCCGGUAACGAGAUUGAACAAGGUAUCGGUAUACCGACGAUCGAAUCUCGGGCAAGUAAAAUACCGCUAGACAAAGGGAAUUGUAUACGGGAUCGAUUGAGUCCUUGACAUCGUGGUUCAUCCGAUGAGAUCAUCGUGGAACAUGUGGGAGCCAACAUGGGUAUCCAGAUCCCGCUGUUGGUUAUUGACCGGAGAACGUCUCGGUCAUGUCUGCAUGUCUCCCGAACCCGUAGGGUCUACACACUUAAGGUUCGAUGACGCUAGGGUUAUAAAGGAAGCUCGUAUGUGGUUACCGAAUGUUGUUCGGAGUCCCGGAUGAGAUCCCGGACGUCACGAGGAGUUCCGGAAUGGUCCGGAGGUAAAUAUUUAUAUAUAGGAAGUCCUGUUUCGGCCAUCGGGACAAGUUUCGGGGUCAUCGGUAUUGUACCGGGACCACCGGAAGGGUCCCGGGGGCCCACCGGGUGGGGCCACCUGCCCCGGGGGGCCACAUGGGCUGUAGGGGGUGCGCCUUGGCCUACAUGGGCCAAGGGCACCAGCCCCAAGAGGCCCAUGCGCCUAGGGAACCCUAGAGGGAAGAGUCCUCGAGGGGGAAGGCACCUCCGAGGUGCCUUGGGGAGGAUGGACUCCUCCCCCCUUCUUGGCCGCACCCCAAAACCCAUCUAGGGCUGGCCGCCGCCCCUAGGGGUGGGAAAACCCUAAAGGGGGCGCAGCCCCCUUCCCCCCUAUAUAUAUUGAGGCAUGGGGCUGCCCAUAACACGCGAUUUGAUCUCUCGUUGGUGCAGCCCUGCCCCUCUCCCUCCUCCUCCUCUCCCAUGGUGCUUGGCGAAGCCCUGCUGGAUUGCCAUGCUCCUCCACCACCACCACGCCGUUGUGCUGCUGUUGGAUGGAGUCUUCCUCAACCUCUCCCUCUCUCCUUGCUGGAUCAAGGCGUGGGAGACGUCACCGGGCUGUACGUGUGUUGAACACGGAGGUGCCGUCCGUUCGGCACUUGAUCAUCAGUGAUUUGAAUCACGACGAGUACGACUCCAUCAACCCCGUUCACUUGAAUGCUUCCGCUUAGCGAUCUACAAGGGUAUGUAGAUGCACUCUCUUUCUACUCGUUGCUGGUCUCUCCAUAGAUAGAUCUUGGUGACACGUAGGAAAAUUUUGAAUUUCUGCUACGUUACCCAACAGUGGCAUCAUGAGCUAGGUCUAUUGCGUAGAUUCUUUGCACGAGUAGAACACAAAGUAGUUGUGGGCGUUGAUGUUGUUCAAUAUGCUUACCGUUACUAGUCCAAUCUUGUUUCGACGGUAUUGUGGGAUGAAGCGGCCCGGACCGACCUUACACGUACUCUUACGUGAGACAGGUUCCACCGAUUGACAUGCACUUGGUGCAUAAGGUGGCUAGCGGGUGCCAGUCUCUCCUACUUUAGUCGGAACGGAUUCGAUGAAAAGGGUCCUUAUGAAGGGUAAAUAGCAAUUGGCAUAUCACGUUGUGGUCUUGCGUAGGUAAGAAACGUUCUUGCUAGAAACCCAUAGCAGCCACGUAAAACAUGCAACAACAAUUAGAGGACAUCUAACUUGUUUUUGCAGGGUAUGCUAUGUGAUGUGAUAUGGCCAAGAAGAAUGUGAUGAAUGAUAUGUGAUGUAUGAGAUUGAUCAUGUUCUUGUAAUAGGAUUCACGACUUGCAUGUCGAUGAGUAUGACAACCGGCAGGAGCCAUAGGGGUUGUCUUUAUUUUUUGUAUGACCUGCGUGUCAUUGAAGAACGCCAUGUAAACUACUUUAAUUUAUUGCUAAACGCGUUAGUCAUAGAAGUAGAAGUAGUCGUUGGCGUGACAACUUCAUGAAGACACGAUGAUGGAGAUCAUGAUGAUGGAGAUCAUGGUGUCAUGCCGGUGACAAGAUGAUCAUGGAGCCCCGAAGAUGGAGAUCAAUGGAGCUAUAUGAUAUUGGCCAUAUCAUGUCACAACUAUUUGAUUGCAUGUGAUGUUUAUCAUGUUUAUGCAUCUUGUUUGCUUAGAACAACGGUAGUAAAUAAGAUGAUCCCUUACAAAAUUUCAAGAAGUGUUCUCCCCUAACUGUGCACCGUUGCUACAGUUCAUCGCUUCUAAGCACCACGUGAUGAUCGGGUGUGAUGGAUUCUUACGUUCACAUACAACGGGUGUAAGACAGUUUUACACAGCGAAAACACUUAGGGUUAACUUGACGAGCCUAGCAUGUGCAGACAUGGCCUCAGAACACGGAGACCGAAAGGUCGAGCAUGAGUCGUAUAGUAGAUACGAUCAACAUGAAGAUGUUCACCGAUGAUGACUAGUCCGUCUCACGUGAUGAUCGGACACGGCCUAGUUGACUCGGAUCAUGUGAUCACUUAGAUGACCAGAGGGAUGUCUAUCUGAGUGGGAGUUCAUAAGAUGAACUCAAUUAUCCUGAACAUAGUCAAAAGACCUUUUGCAAAUUAUGUCGUAGCUCACGCUAUAGUUCUACUGUUUUAGAUAUGUUCCUAGAGAAAAUAUAGUUGAAAGUUGAAAGUAGCAAUUAUGCAGACAGUAGAUAGCUUAUGUCCUUAAUGCACCGCUUAGUGUGCUAAAACCCAAACGUCGUUUGUGGAUGUUUCGAACAUCGAACAUACACAUUUUGAUAACUACGUGAUAGUUCAGUUAAAUGGUUUAAGUAGAGGCACCAAAGACAUUUUCGAAACGUCGCGGAACAUAUGAGAUGUUUCGAGGGCUGAAAUUGGGAUUUCAGGCUCGUUCCCACGUCAAGAGGUAUGAGACCUCCGGCGAUUUUCUUAGCCUGCAAACUAAGGGAGAAAAGCUCAAUCGUUGAGCUUGUGCUCAGAUUGUCUGAGUACAACAAUCACUUGAAUCAAGUGGGAGUUAAUCUUCCAGAUGAGAUAGUGAUGUUUCCCCAAAGUCAUUGCCACCGAGCUGCUAGAGCUUCGUGAUGAACUAUAACAUAUCAGGGAUAAAUAAGAUGAUCCUUGAGGUAUUCACGAUGUUUGACACCGCGAAAGUAGAAAUCAAGAAGGAGCAUCAAUCGUUGAUGGUCAGUGAGACCACUAGUUUCAAGAAGGGCAAGGGCAAGAAGGGAUACUUCAUGAAACGGCAAUUCAGCUGCUGCUCUAGUGAAGAAACCCAAGGUUGAACCCAAACCUGAGACUGAGUGCUUCUGUAAUAAGGGGAACAGCCACUGGAGCAGAAUUACCCUAGAUACUUGGUAGAUGAGAAGGCUGGCAAGGUCGAUAGAAGUAUAUUGGAUAUACAUUAUGUUAAUGUGUACUUUACUAGUACUCCUAGUAGCACCAGGGUAUAAGAUACCGGUUCGGUUGCUAAGUGUUAGUAACUCGAAAUAAAAGCUACGGCAUAAACGGAGACUAGCUAAAGGUGAGCUGACGAUAUGUGUUGGAAGUGUUUCCAAUGUUGAUAUGAUCAAGCAUCGCACGCUCCCUCUACCAUCGAGAUUUGGUGUUUGCGUUGAGCAUAGACAUGAUUGGAUUAUGUCUAUCGCAAUACGGUUAUUCAUUUAAAGAGAAUAAUGGUUACUCUAUUUAUUUGAAUAAUACCUUCAAUGGUCUUGCACCUAAAAUGAAUGGUUUAUUGAAUCUCGAUCGUAGUGAUACACAUUUUCAUGCCAAAAGAUAUAAGAUAGUAAUGAUAGUACCACUUACUUGUGGCACUGCCAUGUAAGUCAUAAUGGUAUAAAACGCAUGAAGAAACUCCAUGCAGAUGGAUCAUUUGGACUCACUUGAUUUUGAAUCACUUGAGAUAUGCAAAUCAUACCACUUAGGCAAGAUGACUGAAAAGCCUCGGUUUCAGUAAAAUGGAACAAGAUAGCAACUUGUUGGAAGCAACACAUUUUGAUGUGUGCAGUCCAAUGAGUGCUGAGGCAUGCAGUGAAUAUCGUUAUGUUCUUAGUUCACAGAUGAUUCGAGUAGAUGUUGAGACUAUUUACUUGAUGAAACACAAGUCUGAAUUAUUGAAUGGUUCAAGUAAUUUCAGAGUGAAGUAGAAGAUCAUUGUGACAAGAGGAUAUAAUGUCUAUGAUAUGAUCAUAGAGAUGAAUAUCUGAGUUACGAGUUUUGGCACACAAUUAAGACAUUGUGGAAAUUGUUUCAUAAUUAAUACCGCCUGGAACACCAUAGUGUGAUGGUGUGUCCGAACAUCAUAGUUGCACCCUAUUGGAUAUGGUGCGUACCAUGAUGUCUCUUAUCGAAUUACCACUAUUGUUCAUGGGUUAGGCAUUAGAGACAACCACAUUCACUUUAAAUAGGGCACCACGUAAUUCCGUUGAGACGACACCAUUUGGAGAAACCUAAGUUGUCGUUUCUUAAAGGUUUGGGGCUGCGACGCUUAUGUGAAAAAGUUUCAGGAUUGAUAAGCUCGAACCCAAAGCGGAUAAAAUGCAUCUUCAUAGGACACCCAAAACAGUUGGGUAUGCCUCCUGUCUCAGAUCCGAAAGCAAUAAAGGAUUGUUUCUAGAAUCGAGUCCUUUCUCGAGGAAAAGUUUCUCUCGAAAGAAUUGAGUGGGAGGAUGGUGGAGACUUGAUGAGGUUAUUGAACCAUCUCUUCAACUAGUGUGUGGUAGGGCACAAGAAGUUGUUCCUGUGGCACCUACACGAAUUGAAGUGGAAGCUUAUGAUAGUGAUCAUGAAGCUUCGGAUCAAGUCACUAUCGAACCUCGUAGGACGACAAGGACACAUACUACUUCGGAGUGGUACGGUGAUCCUGUCUUGAAGGUCAUGUUGCUAGACAACAAUGAACCUACGAGCUAUGGAGAAGCGAUGGUGGGCCCAAAUUCCGACAAAUGGUUAGGAGCCAUGAAAUCCGAGAUAGGAUCCAUGUAUCAGAACAAAGCAUGGACUUUGGUGGACUUGCCCGAUGAUCGGCAAGCCAUUGAGAUAAAUGGAUUUUAAGAAGAAGAUGGACGUGGACGGUAAUGUCACCGUCUGUGAAGCUCGACUUGUGGUGAAGAGUUUUUCACAAGUUCAAGGAGUUGACUACGAUGAGAUUUUCUCAUUCGUAGCGAUGCUUAAAGUCCGUUGGAAUCAUGUUAGCAUUAGCUGCAUUUAUGAAAUCUGGCAGAUGGAUGUCAAGACAAGUUUCCUUACCAGUUUUCGUAAGGAAAAGUUGUAUGCAAUACAAUCAGAAAAGUUUUGUCGAUCCUAAGGAUGCUAAAAGGUAUGCUAGCUCCAGCGAUCCUUCUAAGGACCGGAGUAAGCAUCUCGGAAUUGGAAUGUGCGCUUUGAUGAGAUGAUCAAAGAUUUUGGUGUAUACAAAGUUUAUGAGAAACUUGUAUUUCCAAAGAAGUGAGUGGGAGCACUAUAGAAUUUCUGAUGAGUAUAUGUUGUUGACAUAUUGUUGAUCAGAAAUGAUGUAGAAUUUCUGGAAAGCAUAUAGGGUUAUUUGAAAUGUGUUUUUCAAUAGAAAACCUGGAUUAAGCUACUUGAGCAUUGAGCAUCAAGAUCUAUAAGGAUAGAUCAAAACGCUUAAUGGUACUUUCAAAUGAGCACAUACCUUGACAUGAUCUUGAAGGUAUUUAAGAUGGACCAGUCAAAGAAGGAGUUCUUGCCUGAGUUGUAAGGUACGAAGUUAAGACUUAAAGCUCGACCACGGCAGAAUAGAGAGAAAGGACGAAGGUCGUCCCCUAUGCUUAAGACGUAGGCUCUUUAGUAUGCUAUGCUGUGUACCGCACCUGAAGUGUGCCUUGCCAUGAGUUAGUCAAGGGGUACAAGAGUGAUCCAAGAAUGGAUCACAGACAACGGUCAAAGUUAUCCUUAGUAACUAGUGGACUAAGGAAUUUUCUCGAUUAUGGAGGUGGUAAAAGAGUUCGUCGUAAAGGUUACGACGAUGCAAGCUUGACACCUAUCCGGAUAGCUCUGAGUAGAGAGACCGGAUACAUAUAAUGGAGCAAUAAUUUAGGAUAGCUCCAAGUAGAACAGUUGUUUGGAAUAGCUCCAAAUAGAGCGUGGUAGCUGCAUCUAGGAGAUGACAUAGAGAUUUGUAAAGCACACACGUAUCUGAAAGGUUCAGACCCGUUGACUAAAACCUCUCUCACAAGCAACAUGAUCAAACAUAAAACUCAUUGAGUGUUAAUCACAUAGUGAUGUGAACUAGACUACCGACUCUAGUAAACUCUUGGGUAUUAGUCACAUGGCGAUGUGACCUGUGAGUGUUAAUCACAUGGCGAUGUGAACUAGAUUAUUGACUCUAGUGCAAGUGGGAGACUGUUGGAAAUAUGCCCUAGAGGCAACAAUAAAAGUAUUAUUAUUAUAAUAUUUCCUUGUUCAUGAUAAUUGUCUUUUAUUCAUGCUAUAACUGUACUAUCUGGAAAUCGUAAUACACGUGUGAAUACAUAGACCACAAUAUGUCCCUAGUGAGCCUCUAGUUGACUAGCUCGUUGUGAUCAACAGAUAAUCAUGGUUUCCUGGCUAUGGACAUUGGAUGUCGUUGAUAACGGGAUCACAUCAUUAGGAGAAUGAUGUGAUGGACAAGACCCAAUCCUAAGACUAGCACAAAAGAUCGUGUAGUUCAUUUGCUAGAGCUUUGCCAAUGUCAAGUAUCUCUUCCUUUGACCAUGAGAGCGUGUAACUCCUGGAUACCAUAGGAGUGCUUUGGGUGUAUCAAACGUCACAACGUAACUGGGUGACUAUAAAGGUGCACUACAGGUAUCUCCGAAAGUAUCUAUUGUUUUAUGCGGAUCGAGACUGGGAUUUGUCACUCCGUGUAAACGGAGAGGUAUCUCUGGGCCCACUCGGUAGGACAUCAUCAUAUGCGCAAUGUGACCAAGGAGUUGAUCACGGGAUGAUGUGUUACGGAACGAGUAAAGAGACUUGCCGGUAACGAGAUUGAACAAGGUAUCGGUAUACCGACGAUCGAAUCUCGGGCAAGUAAAAUACCGCUAGACAAAGGGAAUUGUAUACGGGAUCGAUUGAGUCCUUGACAUCGUGGUUCAUCCGAUGAGAUCAUCGUGGAACAUGUGGGAGCCAACAUGGGUAUCCAGAUCCCGCUGUUGGUUAUUGACCGGAGAACGUCUCGGUCAUGUCUGCAUGUCUCCCGAACCCGUAGGGUCUACACACUUAAGGUUCGAUGACGCUAGGGUUAUAAAGGAAGCUCGUAUGUGGUUACCGAAUGUUGUUCGGAGUCCCGGAUGAGAUCCCGGACGUCACGAGGAGUUCCGGAAUGGUCCGGAGGUAAAUAUUUAUAUAUAGGAAGUCCUGUUUCGGCCAUCGGGACAAGUUUCGGGGUCAUCGGUAUUGUACCGGGACCACCGGAAGGGUCCCGGGGGCCCACCGGGUGGGGCCACCUGCCCCGGGGGGCCACAUGGGCUGUAGGGGGUGCGCCUUGGCCUACAUGGGCCAAGGGCACCAGCCCCAAGAGGCCCAUGCGCCUAGGGAACCCUAGAGGGAAGAGUCCUCGAGGGGGAAGGCACCUCCGAGGUGCCUUGGGGAGGAUGGACUCCUCCCCCCUUCUUGGCCGCACCCCAAAACCCAUCUAGGGCUGGCCGCCGCCCCUAGGGGUGGGAAAACCCUAAAGGGGGCGCAGCCCCCUUCCCCCCUAUAUAUAUUGAGGCAUGGGGCUGCCCAUAACACGCGAUUUGAUCUCUCGUUGGUGCAGCCCUGCCCCUCUCCCUCCUCCUCCUCUCCCAUGGUGCUUGGCGAAGCCCUGCUGGAUUGCCACGCUCCUCCACCACCACCACGCCGUUGUGCUGCUGUUGGAUGGAGUCUUCCUCAACCUCUCCCUCUCUCCUUGCUGGAUCAAGGCGUGGGAGACGUCACCGGGCUGUACGUGUGUUGAACACGGAGGUGCCGUCCGUUCGGCACUUGAUCAUCGGUGAUUUGAAUCACGACGAGUACGACUCCAUCAACCCCGUUCACUUGAACGCUUCCGCUUAGCGAUCUACAAGGGUAUGUAGAUGCACUCUCUUUCUACUCGUUGCUGGUCUCUCCAUAGAUAGAUCUUGGUGACACGUAGGAAAAUUUUGAAUUUCUGCUACGUUACCCAACAGGUAGUACAUCAAAGAUCGUCACCACGCCGUCGUGCUGACGGAACUCUUCCCCGACACUUUGCUGGAUCGGAGUCCGGGGAUCGUCAUCGAGCUGAACGUGUGCUAGAACUCGGAGGUGCCGUAGUUUCGGUGCUUGAUCGGUCGGGCCGUGAAGACGUACGACUACAUCAACCGCAUUGUGCUAACGCUUCCGCUGUCAGUCUACAAGGGUACGUAGAUCACACUCUCCCCUCUCGUUGCUAUGCAUCACCAUGAUCUUGCGUGUGCGUAGGAAUUUUUUUGAAAUUACUACAUUACCCAACAUGGCAUCCGAGCCUAGGUUUUAUGUGUUGAUGUUAUAUGCACGAGUAGAACACAAGUGAGUUGUGGGCGAUAUAAGUCAUACUGCUUACCAGCAUGUCAUACUUUGGUUCGGCGGUAUUGUUGGACGAAGCGGCCCAGACCGACAUUACGCGUACGCCUACGCGAGACCAGUUCUCCCGACGUGCUUUGCACAAAGGUGGCUAGCGGGUGACAAUUUCUCCAACUUUAGUUGAACCGAGUGUGGCUACGCCCGGUCCUUGCGAAGGUUAAAACAGCACCAACUUGACAAAUUAUCGUUGUGGUUUUGAUGCGUAGGUAAGAUUGGUUCUUGCUUAAACCCGUAGCAGCCACGUAAAACUUGCAACAACAAAGUAGAGGACGUCUAACUUGUUUUUGCAGGGUAUGUUGUGAUGUGAUAUGGUCAAGACAUGAUGCUAAAUUUUAUUGUAUGAGAUGAUCAUGUUUUGUAACCGAGUUAUCGGCAACUGGCAUGAGCCAUAUGGUUGUCGCUUUAUUGUAUGCAAUGCAAUCACGCUGUAAUGCUUUACUUUAUCACUAAGCGGUAGCGAUAGUCGUGGAAGCAUAAGAUUGGCGAGACGACAAUGAUUCUACGAUGGAGAUCAAGGUGUCGCGCCGGUGAUGAUGGUGAUCACGACGGUGCUUCAAAGAUGGAGAUCACAAGCACAAGAUGAUGAUGGCCAUAUCAUAUCACUUAUAUUGAUUGCAUGUGAUGUUUAUCUUUUAUGCAUCUUAUCUUGCUUUGAUUGACGGUAGCAUUAUAAGAUGAUCUCUCACUAAUUAUCAAGAAGUGUUCUCCCUGAGUAUGCACCGUUGCGAAAGGUCUUCAUGCUGAUACACCACGUGAUGAUCGGGUGUGAUAGGCUCUACGUUCAAAUACAACGGGUGCAAAACAGUUGCACACGCGGAAUACUCAGGUUAUACUUGACGAUCCAAGCAUAUACAGAUAUGGCCUCGGAACAUGGAGACCGAAAGGUCGAGCGUGAAUCAUAUAGUAGAUAUGAUCAACAUAAUGAUGUUCACCAAUGAAACUACUCCAUCUCACGUGAUGAUCGGACAUGGUUUAGUUGAUUUGGAUCACAUAAUCACUUAGAGGAUUAGAGGGAUGUCUAUCUAAGUGGGAGUUCUUUAAGUAAUAUGAUUAAUUGAACCUAAAUUUAUCAUGAAACUUAGUACCUGAUAGUAUCUUGCUUGUUUAUGUUUGAUUGUAGAUAGAUGGCCCGUGCUGUUGUUCCAUUGAAUUUUAAUGCGUUCCUUGAGAAAGCAAAGUUGAAAGAUGAUGGUAGCAAUUACACGGACUGGGUCCGUAACUUGAGGAUUAUCCUCAUUGCUGCACAGAAGAAUUACGUCCUGGAAGCACCGCUGGGUGCCAGGCCUGCUGCUGGAGCAACACCAGAUGUUAUGAACGUCUGGCAGAGCAAAGCUGAUGACUACUCGAUAGUUCAGUGUGCCAUGAUUUACGGCUUAGAAUCGGGACUUAAAUGACGUUUUGAACGUCAUGGAGCAUAUGAGAUGUUCCAGGAGUUGAAGUUGAUAUUUCAAGCAAAUGCCUGGAUUGAGAGAUAUGAAGUCUCCAAUAAGUUCUAUAGCUGCAAGAUGGAGGAGAACAGUUCUGUCAGUGAGCAUAUACUCAAAAUGUCUGGGUAUAAUAAUCACUUGAUUCAAUUGGGAGUUAACCUUCCAGAUGAUUGCGUCAUUGACAAAAUUCUCCAAUCACUGCCACCAAGCUACAAGAGCUUCGUGAUGAACUAUAAUAUGCAAGGGAUGAAUAAGACUAUUCCCGAGCUCUUCGCAAUGCUGAAAGCUGUGGAGGUAGAAAUCAAGAAGGAGCAUCAAGUGUUGAUGGUCAACAAGACUGCUAGUUUCAAGAAAAAGGGCAAAGGGAAGAAGAAGGGGAACUUCAAAAAGAACAGCAAGCAAGUUGCUACUCAAGAGAAGAAACCCAAACCUGGACCUAAGCCUGAAACUGAGUGCUUCUACUGCAAGCAGACUGGUCACUGGAAGCGGAACCGCCCCAAGUAUUUGGCGGAUAAGAAGGAUGGCAAGGUGAACAAAGGUAUAUGUGAUAUACAUGUUAUUGAUGUGUACCUUACUAAUGCUCGCAGUAGCACCUGGGUAUUUGAUACUGGUUCUGUUGCUAAUAUUUGCAACUCGAAACAGGGACUACGGAUUAAGCGAAGAUUGGCUAAGGACGAGGUGACGAUGCGCGUGGGAAAUGGUUCCAAAGUCGAUGUGAUCGCAGUCGGCACGCUACCUCUACAUCUACCUUCGGGAUUAGUAUUAGACCUAAAUAAUUGUUAUUUGGUGCCAGCGUUAAGCAUGAACAUUAUAUCUAGAUCUUGUUUGAUGCGAGAUGGUUAUUCAUUUAAAUCAGAGAAUAAUGGUUGUUCUAUUUACAUGAGUAAUAUCUUUUAUGGUCAUGCACCCUUAAAGAGUGGUCUAUUUUUAUUAAAUCUCGAUAGUAGUGACACACAUAUUCAUAGUGUUGAAGCCAAAAGAUGCAGAGUUGAUAAUGAUAGUGCAACUUAUUUGUGGCACUGCCGUUUGGGUCAUAUCGGUAUAAAGCGCAUGAAGAAACUCCAUACCGAUGGGCUUUUGGAACCACUUGAUUAUGAAUCACUUGGUACUUGCGAACCGUGCCUUAUGGGUAAGAUGAAAAAAACACCGUUCUCCGGUACUAUGGAGAGAGCAACAGAUUUAUUGGAAAUCAUACAUACAAAUGUAUGUGGUCCGAUGAAUGUUGAGGCUCGUGGCGGAUAUCGUUAUUUUCUCACCUUCACAGACGACUUAAGCAGAUAUGGGUAUAUCUACUUAAUGAAAAAUAAGUCUGAAACAUUUGAAAAGUUCAAAGAAUUUCAUAAUGAAGUUGAAAAUCAUCGUAACAAGAAAAUAAAAUUCCUACGAUCUGAUUGUGGAGGAGAAUAUUUGAGUUACAAGUUUGGUGUACAUUUAAAACAAUGUGGAAUAGUUUCACAACUCACGCCACCCGGAACACCACAGUGUAAUGGUGUGUCCAAACGUCGUAAUCGUACUUUACUAGAUAUGGUGCGAUCUAUGAUGUCUCUUACUGAUUUACCGCUAUCGUUUUGGGGAUAUGCUCUAGAGACGGCUGCAUUCACGUUAAAUAGGGCACCAUCAAAAUCCGUUGAGACGACGCCAUAUGAACUGUGGUUUGGCAAGAAACCAAAGUUGUCGUUUUUGAAAGUUUGGGGCUACGAUGCUUAUGUGAAAAAACUUCAACCUGAUAAGCUUGAACCCAAAUCGGAGAAAUGUGUCUUCAUAGGAUAUCCAAAGGAAACUAUUGGAUACACCUUCUAUCACAGAUCCGAAGGCAAGACUUUUGUUGCUAAAUUCGGAAACUUUCUAGAGAAGGAGUUUCUCUCGAAAGAAGUGAGUGGGAGGAAAGUAGAACUUGACGAGGUAACUGUACCUGCUCCCUUAUUGGAAAGUAGUACAUCACAGAAACCAGUUUCUGUGACACCUACACCAAUUAGCGAGGAAGCUAACGAUAAUGAUCAUGAAACUUCAGAACAAGAUACUACUGAACCUCGUAGAUCAACCAGAGUAAGAUCCGCACCAGAGUGGUAUGGUAAUCCUGUUCUGGAAGUCAUGCUACUAGAUCAUGAUGAACCUAUGAACUAUGAAGAAGCGAUGGUGAGCCCAGAUUCCGCAAAUGGCUUGAAGCCAUGAAAUCUGAGAUGGGAUCCAUGUAUGAGAACAAAGUAUGGACUUUGGUUGACUUGCCCAAUGAUCGGCAAGCAAUUGAAAAUAAAUGGAUCUUCAAGAAGAAGACUGACGCUGACGGUAAUAUUACUGUCUACAAAGCUCGACUUGUCGCAAAAGGUUUUCGGCAAGUUCAAGGGAUUGACUACGAUGAGACCUUCUCACCCGUAGCGAUGCUUAAGUCUGUCCGAAUCAUGUUAGCAAUUGCCGCAUUUUAUGAUUAUGAAAUUUGGCAGAUGGAUGUCAAAACUACAUUCCUGAAUGGAUUUCUGCAAGAAGAGUUGUAUAUGAUGCAGCCGGAAGGUUUUGUUGAUCCAAAGGGAGCUAACAAAGUGUGCAAGCUCCAGCGAUCCAUUUAUGGACUUGUGCAAGCCUCUCGGAGUUGGAAUAAACGCUUUGAUAGUGUGAUCAAAGCAUUUGGUUUUGUACAGACUUUUGGAGAAGCCUGUAUUUACAAGAAAGUGAGUGGGAGCUCUGUAGCAUUUCUGAUAUUAUAUGUAGAUGACAUAUUGCUAAUCGGAAAUGAUAUAGAAUUUCUGGAUAGCAUAAAAGGAUACUUGAAUAAGAGUUUUUAAAUGAAAGACCUCGGUGAAGCUGCUUACAUAUUGGGCAUUAAGAUCUAUAGAGAUAGAUCAAGACGCUUAAUUGGACUUUCACAAAGCACAUACCUUGACAAAGUUUUGAAGAAGUUCAAAAUGGAUCAAGCAAAGAAAGGAUUCUUGCCUGUGUUACAAGGUGUGAAAUUGAGUAAGACUCAAUCCCCGACCAAUGCAGAAGAUAGAGAGAAAAUGAAAGAUGUUCCCUAUGCUUCAACCAUAGGUUCUAUAAUGUAUGCAAUGCUGUGUACCACACCUGAUGUGUGUCUUGCUAUAAGUCUAGCAGGGAGGUACCAAAGUAAUCCAGGAGUGGAUCACUAGACAACGGUCAAGAACAUCCUGAAAUACCUGAAAAGGACUAAGGAUAUGUUUCUCAUAUAUGGAGAUGACAAAGAGCUCAUCGUAAAUGGUUACGUUGAUGCAAGCUUUGACACUGAUCAGGACGAUUCUAAAUCGCAAACCAGAUAUGUGUUUACAUUAAAUGGUGGAGCUGUCAGUUGGUGCAGUUCUAAACAAAGCGUUGUGGCGGGAUCUACAUGUGAAGCGGAGUACAUAGCUGCUUCGGAAGCAGCAAACGAAGGAGUCUGGAUGAAGGAGUUCAUAUCCGAUAUAGGUGUCAUACCUAGUGCAUCGGGUCCAAUGAAAAUCUUUUGUGACAAUACUGGUGCAAUUGCCUUGGCAAAGGAAUCCAGAUUUCACAAGAGAACCAAGCACAUCAAGAGACGCUUCAAUUCCAUCCGGGAUCUAGUCCAGGUGGGAGACAUAGAGAUUUGCAAGAUACAUACGGAUCUAAAUAUAGCAGACUCGUUGACUAAGCCUCUUCCACGAGCAAAACAUGAUCAGCACCAAAGCUCCAUGGGUGUUAGAAUCAUUACUGUGUAAUCUAGAUUAUUGACUCUAGUGCAAGUGGGAGACUGAAGGAAAUAUGCCCUAGAGGCAAUAAUAAUGUUAUUAUUUUAUUUCCUCAUAUCAUGAUAAAUGUUUAUUAUUCAUGCUAGAAUUGUAUUAUCCGGAAACAUAAUACUUGUGUGAAUACAUAGACAAACCAAACGUCACUAGUAUGCCUCUACUUGACUAGCUCGUUAAUCGAAGAUGGUUAUGUUUCCUAACCAUAGACAUGUGUUGUCAUUUGAUUAAUGGGAUCACAUCAUUAGGAGAAUGAUGUGAUUGACAUGACCCAUUCCAUUAGCUUAGCACCCGAUCGUUUAGUAUGUUGCUAUUGCUUUCUUCAUGACUUAUACAUGUUCCUAUGACUAUGAGAUUAUGCAACUCCCGUUUGCCGGAGGAACACUUUGUGUGCUACCAAAUGUCACAACGUAACUGGGUGAUUAUAAAGGAGUUCUACAGGUGUCUCCAAAGGUACACGUUGGGUUGGCGUAUUUCAAGAUUAGGAUUUGUCACUCCGAUUGUCGGAGAGGUAUCUCUGGGCCCUCUCGGUAAUGCACAUCACAUAAGCCUUGCAAGCAUUACAACUAAUGAGUUAGUUGCAAGAUGAUGUAUUACAAAACGAGUAAAGAGACUUGCCGGUAACGAGAUUGAACUAGGUAUUGAGAUAUCGACGAUCGAAUCUCGGGCAAGUAACAUACCGAUGACAAAGGGAACAACGUAUGUUGUUAUGCGGUCUGACCGAUAAAGAUCUUCGUAGAAUAUGUGGGAGCCAAUAUGAGCAUCUAGGUUCUGCUAUUGGUUAUUGAUCGGAGACGUGUCUCGGUCAUGUCUACAUUGUUCUCGAACCCGUAGGGUCCGCACGCUUAAGGUUUUGAUGACAGUUAUAUUAUGAGUUUAUGCAUUUUGAUGUACCGAAUUUUGUUCGGAGUCCCAGAUGUGAUCACGGACAUGACGAGGAGUCUCGAAAUGGUCGAGACAUAAAGAUUGAUAUAUUGGAAGCCUAUAUUUGGAUAUCGGAAGUGUUCCGGGUGAAAUCGGGAUUUUACCGGAGUACCGGGAGGUUACCGGAACCCCCCGGGAGGUAUAUGGGCCUUAGUGGGCUUUAGUGGAAGAGAGGAGAGGUGGCCAGGGCUGGGCCACGUGCCCCUCCCCCUAGUCCAAAUAGGACAAGGAGAGGGGGGCGGCGCCCCCCCUUCCUUCUCUCUCUCCUCUUUUCCCCUCCCGAAUCCUAUUCCAACUAGGAAAAGGCGAGGAAUCCUACUCCCGGUGGGAGUAGGACUCCUCCUGGCGCGCCCUCCUCCUGGCCGGCCGCACCUUCCCCUGCUCCUUUAUAUACGGGGGCAGGGGGCACCCCUAGAGACACAAGUUGAUCCACGUGAUCAUAUUCUUAGCCGUGUGCGGUGCCCCCUGCCACCAUAAUCCUCGAUAAUAUUGUAGCGGUGCUUAGGCGAAGCCCUGCGACGGUACUACAUCAAAGAUCGUCACCACGCCGUCGUGCUGACGGAACUCUUCCCCGACACUUUGCUGGAUCGGAGUCCGGGGAUCGUCAUCGAGCUGAACGUGUGCUAGAACUCGGAGGUGCCGUAGUUUCGGUGCUUGAUCGGUUGGGCCGUGAAGACGUACGACUACAUCAACCGCGUUGUGCUAACGCUUCCGCUGUCGGUCUACAAGGGUACGUAGAUCACACUCUCCCCUCUCGUUGCUAUGCAUCACCAUGAUCUUGCGUGUGCGUAGGAAUUUUUUUGAAAUUACUACGUUACCCAACAAGAGGUUUGACAUGGCAAUAUGGGAUGCAUGAUAAGAAAGUGGUAGGUAUCAUAACAUAGGCAUAGCAAAAGAGCGAGCAUCUAGCAAGCAAAGAUAGAUGUGAUUUCGAGGGUAUGGUCAUCUUGCCUUCAAAGUUCUUAGAGUUGCCUUGAUCCUCGUAAGCGUACUCAACGGGCUCCUCGAUCACGUACUCAUCUCCCGUCUCUACCCAAGCAAGAAUAGCAAGCAAAAGGAACACAAUCAACCACGUGGAAAGCUCAAACAACAUGAUGCAAACAUGGUAUAAUAUGCAGGAUGCGGUAUGCGAUGCAUAUGCAAGAUUUGGAAAGGGAAGAUUGAACCUGGCCUCAACUUGUAAAUUCAAGAGUGCCACUUUAAAGAGGAGUUGAUUUCGGUCAAAAUCGAUAUAAAGAUCACCGGAAUCGGAUGCACGGUUUGGAAAUGGCAAGCAAAACAAAUAUGGCAGCGGUCUGCGAUUAACAGCAAGUAGCCAUCUAAAUGCAUCAAGAUAAAUAUGCUACAUCACUCAAACAUAGCAACAAAAUACAUGGCAGGGAUCCACUCAUGAUGCUUGACAAAAGAUGAACACUGAGCUACGGCUAAUUCACUCAUUAACAGGUUCAAACAAGCAUGGCAAAAGUGCAAAAGAUAACAGGUUUCAGACUUGGUGAAAAUAACAAGUCAGGAUUUUAUCAUCAGGAAGAAAUCUUUAGAGCAAGAAAACUACAUGCUACAGGAACAUAUCAUGGCAAAGCAAGGCGUGGCAUGAAGCUACUCAAAGCAUAUAACAAAAGUCCCUUAGUGACCAUGAGCCAAAAGGGAUCAGAAAAUACAAUUGCAAGCAUGUGAACAUAGCAAAAACAUAAACAAAUUCAGACUUAGUGAAAAACUGGAGCAUGCAAAACAGUUAACAAGUAGGCAUGUUUACGAGCUCGAUGCACUCACUACGAGGCAUUGCAUGACAAACUAAGCAUACACCCAGCAAGUAGACAUGGCAUAGAAUCUAGAAAUGGAAAGAACAACAACAUAGCAUGCACGGAUCAACAACAACAAGCUCGGCAAAAUUGCUAAACAUGUUAACAAUCUGCUAGGAACAUUUUAUACCAAAAGUAGAGCUCGAUUGACUCAAGCUAGGAUGCUCCAUAAAUGCAAACAGAUACAUGGAUGGAUAGAGCACCACAAUAUCUACCAAACAUCCUUACUAAUCAUCCUCAAAAGAGGCACAGAUCACUAGGAAACAACAUGAACAUACGGCAUAAAAACAAUAACCGGACAAGGACUUAGUGAAAAACUAAGUUCCUGAAAUCAGCAUCAUUGAGUAAGCUACUUUGCAUGCUUGUGCUAGUCACCACAAAGAUCACAAAAAUACAUGGCAUACAUCCCUGUAAAGAUGGCAUGACAUACAUCAAAACACAUGUAGAGCUCAGGAUCAUAGCAUGCACACAUUAAUCAUGGCAAAAAUGACAAAAGUGCAUUUGCUGAAACAGAUCUAAAACUAUCCUCACAUAGCCCUAUUCCAACAGCAUUUCGGGCAUCAAGAUGAGCUCAAUGAAAAUGAUGCAAUGAGAUGAAAUGUUGUACUCGUCGAGACGAACAUUUUGAUAUGCUACACGCACGAAUCGGAGCUACGAUGAGGCAAUUAUGGCAUGUCGAAGAAUGAAAAAAUGCUAGGGUUUAGGGACAAAAAGUCAACCGCAACUUCUCAGAUCCAGAUCUGGCGCGGGUUACGAGGUUCGUCGUCGCCAGAGUUACUAUUCAUGGGCGACGAGGACGCGGUGGCCGGAGCUGUCGCGGGGCGCCGGAGUAGAGGGACUGGCCGGAGGGUCGCCGGAGUAGGGGAGGAGGAGCUUGCCGGUGCGGGCGUGCGGCGUCGGGCGAGGUUCGCCAGCGUCGGCGGCUGGAGUUGGCGCCGGUGGUGGAGCUGGGCGGCAAAGGGGAGACGGCGGGCGGCGGAGGCGCGACCUCGGGCGGCGCCUGCUCCCAGGCGGCAGGGCGCGGGCGAUGGGCCUUAGGGGCCCGGAGCGGGCUUCCCGGGCCGGUGGCGGGAGGAAUUUUGUGGUGCCACGUGGCGCAAGCCGAUAGGGCGCGGGCGGCGGCGACGGCUUGUCCAGCCGGAUUCGGACACGUCCGGCGCGGCGCGAGGGAAAUUUUUGGGUUUGGGGAAAGAGGAGACCCGGGAUUUCGGAGGAGGGGCUAUAUAUAGAGGUAGGAGGAGUUAGGAAGCUCCAAAUGAGGUGCGGUUUUCGGCCACGCGUUCGUGAUCGAACGAUCUAGAUGAUGGAGGAGGCUUAGGUGGGUUUUGGGCCACUUUGGAGGGGUGUUGGGCUGCAACACACACGAGGCCUUUUCGGUCCCUCGGUUAACCGUUGGAGUAUCAAACGAAGUCCAAAUGGUACGAAACUUGACAGGCGGUCUACCGGUAGUAAACCAAGGCCACAUGGCAAGUCUUGGUCCAAUCCGAAAAUGUUUAACCCCCACACACGAGAAGAGGUAGAAAGGGACACCGGGGGACAUAGGAGCGCCGGAAUGCAAAACGGACAACGGGGAAAAUGCUCGGAUGCAUGAGACGAACACGUAUGCAAAUGCAAUGCACAUGAUGACAUGAUAUGAGAUGCAUGACAAAGACAAAAACACAUGGAGAGAAAAACCCGACAACGAGAAAUAAAAUAACUUAGUGUUGAAAAUGGCAAGAGUUGGAGUACAAAUAAGGUAAAUUACAUCCGAGGUGUUACAGCGGUCCUCCUUUCCCUCGAAGUCAGCGCAUCAUUAAUCUGAUGAGAUGGGGUGUGGCUAUAGUGAGCGCCCGCCUGGCGGCAGAACUGUAUCCAUGCACCCCCCGACAAAGCCUCCGUCAUCAAGGGCGAGGCUACAGUACAAAGCAGUCAACCUGGCCCGCAGGCGGCGAGCCCUAUCUAUUGGCCGAGUUCAUGACAGCCGGCAGGACCCAGCAGCCGGCGGAGAAGCCGGCACCCAGAGACACUGACGGUCGGGUCCUACACCCGGCCAUAUUAUCAUUGUACCCCCCGGAGAGUGGACCGCUGUAGAUAGAUGGGGGAAGCUGAUGAAGAUGUUGGUGAAGAUUUCGGAGGUGUUGGUGUAGAUCGCCGUCACAUGGUGAUGGCCCCGGCGGCGUUCCGGCGCCACCGGGAGAGAGAGGGAGAGAUCCCCCCUUCUUCUUCUUCUUCUUCCUUGACCUUCUCCCUAGAUGGGAGAAGGGUUUACCCUUUGGUCCAUGGCCUCCAUGGCGGCGGAGGGGCGAGAGCCCCUCCGAGAUUGGAUCUGUCUCUCUGUCUCUUUGUUUCUGCAUUUCAGAUUCUGGCCUUUCACCGUUUCUUAUAUUCUCGAAGAUUCGUAACUCCGAUUGGGCUAAAAUUUUAACACGAUUUCUAUCCGGAUAUUGGAUUUCUUGCGGCGAAAGAAGGGCACCAACCGCCUUAUGGGGUGGCCACGAGGGCCCAGGGCGCGCCCCCUGCCUUGUGCCCCCCUCGGGCAUCGUCCCGCGUUGAUUCUUCUUCCCAAAAAUCACAUAUAUUCCAAAAAAAUCUCCGUUAGUUUUUAUCCCAUUUGGACUCUAUUUGAUAUGGAUUUUCUACGAAACAAAAAACAUGCAACAAACAGGAACUGGCACUGGGCACUGGAUCAAUAUGUUAGUCCCAAAAAUAGUAUAAAAAGUUGCCAAAAGUAUAUAAAAGUUGUAAAAUAUUGGCAUGGAACAAUCAAAAAUUAUAGAUACGACGGAGACGUAUCAGGGACUGCCGGCUCAACUGCGUUCACUGCUCGUUUAUGAAUCUUCUGAUCUUGUUUGCACAAGCUCGUGGUGAACACAUGAUAUUGACCACUAUUCAGCUGCUUCGAAUUACUUUGAUAACCAAACUAUUGUUGUUGAUUUCCUUGAUUAGAUUGUUUAUUAAAACCACCUUGAUUGUCUUGGCCCUGAAAACCAGAGCUUGAGCCGCCACCCCCGAAGCCAGGUCCGGGAGAGCCGGAUCCUGAACCGCCAUUCGGGCCAUGAUUAUUCUGGAAAAAACUGGAAUUCCUAUACUCCCUCAUGAUGAAGCAAUCCUUCCAUAGAUGGCUGGCCGGCUUCUCUUGCGUCUCGUGUUUCGGGCAAGGCUGAUUCAUCAUUGCCUCAAGGUUGAACUUUGGCCCGCCAAAUCGGGGUACUGACGACUUCCCCUUACGACGUUGAUUAUUAUUUUGUGUAUUGGUGUUAGCCACAAAGUCUAAACCGCCGCCGGCUUUGCGCUUACCGUUGCCACCUUGACCGGCCGUAUUAUGUUGCUGUCCCUUUGCAUUGCCGCCCUUCUUGCCCUUGCCAGCCUUCUCUUCAUCAGACUCGGGGUCUUUAGUACUAUCAGAGUCACCGUACUUAACGAGAGCUACCAUGAGCUCUUCCAUAUCAUUGCAGUGCUUAAGGGGAAGGAACCGACAAUUCUUUUCCAACGUCAGGACAGCUGAACCAGCAUUGAUACUGUCUGAAGAGUGGAUAACUGCCGAGAUCCGGCGCACCCAAUUGGUCGUUGAGUCGCUCUCACCCUGGAUGCAAGAACCCAGAUCAAGAAUUGACAUAGGCUGCUUGCAUGUGUCUUUGAAAUUUUGAUUAAAUGCGCCUUCAAUUCAACCCAUGAUCUGAUGGAGUUAGCGGGCAAUCCCUUCAGCCAAGUACGCGCCGGCCCAUCCAACAUCAUGGUGAAGUAUUUAGCACAUGCAACAUCGCUGACAUCCAACAUCUUCAUGGCCAUCUCAUAGCUCUCAAUCUAGGCCUCUAGGGGCUAAUCCGUAGUGUAAUUAGGCACCUUGUGGGGCCCCUUAAAAUCCUUGGGUAAGUGCUUGUUACGAAGAGACGACACUAAACAUGUCACACCAAGGGUUCUAGAGGUCACCCUCGCUGUAACGCCCCGAGACCGAUGUGCCAGGUGUCGUCCAGUUAUUCGCUUUGCCUUGUCAUUGCUUGCACAUCAUGCAUUGCAUAUCAUGUCAUCAUGUGCAUUUCAUUUGCAUACGUGUUCGUCUCAUGCAUCCGAGCAUUUUCCCCGUUGUCCGUUUUGCAUUCCGGCGCUUCAUUCUCCUCCGGUGGUCAUUUCUACCUUUCUUUCGCGUGUGGGGAUUAAACAUUUCCGUAUUGGACCGAGACAUGCCAAGCGGCCUUGGUUUACUACCGGUAGACCGCUUGUCAAGUUUCGUACCAUUUGGACUUCGUUUGAUGCUCCAACGGUUAACCGAGGGACCGAAAAGGCCUCGUGUGUGUUGCAGCCCAACACCCCUCCAAGUUGGCCCAAAACCCACCUAAACCUCUUCCAUCAUCUCGGUCGUUCGAUCACGAUCGCGUGGCCGAAAACCGCACCUCAUUUGGACUCUCCUAGCUCCCUUUACCUAUAAAUAUGUGCUUCCCCCUGAAAUUCGCGGAGGAACCCUAGCUUUCUUCCACCUCCAGCCGCCGGACGUGUCCAUCCCGGACCGGACAUGUCCGUGCCGCCCUCCUCAGCAAAUCCCGCUUCGCCACCUGUCUCCACUGCCUUCUCUCUCCUCACCUGCGCCGCCGCGGCCCUGCGGGCCCAAGGUCGGCCCGNNNNNNNNNNNNNNNNNNNNNNNNNNNNNNNNNNNNNNNNNNNNNNNNNNNNNNNNNNNNNNNNNNNNNNNNNNNNNNNNNNNNNNNNNNNNNNNNNNNNNNNNNNNNNNNNNNNNNNNNNNNNNNNNNNNNNNNNNNNNNNNNNNNNNNNNNNNNNNNNNNNNNNNNNNNNNNNNNNNNNNNNNNNNNNNNNNNNNNNNNNNNNNNNNNNNNNNNNNNNNNNNNNNNNNNNNNNNNNNNNNNNNNNNNCCACCACCCGGCCUCCGCGACACCGCCCUCCGCCGCCCUCCUCUCCUGGCCGGAGAGCUGCUCCGGCAAGCCCCCCUCACUUCGGCGAAAUCCUCCCCGGUGAGAUCCGCCUCCGGCGAACCUCGGGCUGCGUGCAUGAACAGUACCCGCGCCGGAUCUGGAUCUGAAAAUCCCCCGUGGUUGACUUUCUCAUCCCUAACCCUAAUUAUUUUGCAUAUUUUGACCUGUUGUAUCUCCGCAUCUGUCGCUCCGUUUUGGGCAUAUAGCAUAUCAAAAUGUUCGCCUCAGAGAGCACAUCAUUUCAUAUCAUUGCAUCAUUUUAAUUUGAGUUCAUCUUGAUGCCCGAAAUGCUGUUGGAAGAGUGCUAUUUGAGAUAAUUGUCAGAUCUGCUACUCCAAUUAGCUAUUUGUCAUUUUUGCCAUGAUUAAUGUGUGCAUGAUAUGCCCCUGAGCUCUACAUGUUUUUUGUUAUAUGUUUUGCCAUCUAUCCAGAGGUGCAACCCAUGUAUUUUUGUGAUGUGUGUGGUGACUAGCACAAGCUUGCAAAGUGGAGCAUUCGUUAAUGCUGAUUUCAGGGACUUAGCAUUUCCACUAAGUCCUUGAUCUAUUUAUCUCAAUAUGCCAUAUGUUCAUGUUGAUUCCUAGUGAUCCGUGCCUCUUUUGAGGAUGAUCAGUAAGGAUGUUUUGUUAAUUUUGUAGUGCUCUAUCCAUCCAUGUCUUUGUUUGCAAUUAUGGAGCAGCCUAGCUUGAGUCAAUCGAGCUCUACUUUUGCUAUUGCGUGAAUCUGGGCAGAUUGUCUACUUGUUAGCGAUUUUGCCGAGGAUGUUGUAGUUGAUCCGUGCAUGCCAUGUUAUUGUUCUUACCAUGUCUAGCUUGUAUAAUGUGUAUUCUUGAUGGGUGUAUGCUUAGAUUGUCAUGCCUUGCUCUGUAGUGAGUGCAUCGAGCUCGUUAACAUGCCUACUUGAUAUCUGUUUUCAGCAUGCUCCAGCUUUCACUAAGUCUGAGAACUGAUUAUGUUUUUGCCAUGUUCACAUGCUUGCAAUUGUAUUUUAUGAUCCCUUUCGGCUCAAGGUCACUAAGGGACUUUUGUUAAGCUCUUUGAGUAGCUCCAUGCCAUGCUUUACUUUGCCAUGUUCAGGUCCUGUAGCAUAUAGUUUUCAUGCUCCAAAGUGUGCUACCUGGUCUGAAAUUCCAGACAAGUGUUAAUUUCACUAAGUCUGAAACCUGUUUACCAAUUGCACUUUUGCCAUGCUUGUUUGAACCUAUUAAUGGAUGAUUUGGCCGUAGCUCAGUGCUAGACUUUUGUUAAGCAUCUUGAAUGGAUCCCUGCCAUGUAUUUUGUUGUCAUGUUUGAGUGCUGUAGCAUGUUCAUCUUGUUGCAUUUAGAUGGCUACUUGCUGUAAAUCGCAGAUCGUGGUCAUAUUUGAAUCGCUUGCCAUUUCCAAACCGUAACUCCGAUUCCGGUGAUCUUUAUAUAGUUUUCAAGCGAUUUCACCUCACCUUUCCAGUGGCACACUUGGAUUUCCAAGUUGAGGCCAGGUUCAAUCAUUCCUUGUAAAAUCAUGCAUAUGCAUCGCAUACCGCAUCCCGCAUAUCAUACCAUGUUCAUGUGUUGGUUGUUUACUAUGUUGUGUGCUUCUUUCUGGUGGUUUCUUCUUCGGGUUGGUUCCGGUAACGUCGCGUUUGUGAGGACCCGUUCGUCUACGUCCAUUUGUCUUCUUCAUGGACUCGUUCUUCUUCCUUGAGGGAUUUCAGGCAAGAUGACCAUACCCUCGAAAUCACUUCUAUCUUUGCUUGCUUAGUUGCUCGCUCUUUUGCUAUGCCUAUGCUGCGAUACCUACCACUUGCUUAUCAUGCCUCCCAUAUUGUUGAACAAGGCCUCUGACCCACCUUGUCCUAGCAAACCGUUGAUUAGCUAUGUUACGGCUUUGCUCAGCCCCUCUUAGAGCGUUGUUAGUUGCAGGUGAAGAUUGAAGUUUGUUCCUUGUUGGAACAUGGAGAUGUUGUUCCUUGUUGGAACAUGUUUACUUGUUGGGAUAUCACAAUACAUCUUAUUUAAUUAGUGCAUCUAUAUACUUGGUAAAGGGUGGAAGGCUCGGCCUUAUGCCUGGUGUUUUGUUCCACUCUUGACGCCCUAGUUUCCGUCAUAUCGGUGUUAUGUUCCCGGAUUUUGCGUUCCUUACGCGGUUGGGUUAUAAUGGGAACCCCUUGACAGUUCUCUUUGAAUAAAACUCCUUCAGCAAGGCCCAACCUUGGUUUUACCAUUCGCCACCUAGCCUUUUUCCCUUGGGAGUCACGCAUCCCGAGGGUCAUCUUUAUUUUAACCCCCCCGAGCCAGUGCUUGUCUAAAUGUUGGUCCAACCCAGAGCACCGUGCGGGGCCGUUCCUUGGCAACUUGGAUUACGUUGGCUCCCGUACGCUUAGCUUAUCCGGUGUGCCCUAAGAACGAGAUAUGUGCAGCUCCUAUCGGGAUGUCGGCGCAUCGGGUGGUCUUGCUGGACUUGUUUUACCAUUGUCGGGGAUGUCUUGUAGAACCAGGAUACCGAGUCUGAUCGGAAUGUCUCGGGAGGAGGUCUAUUCCUUCGUUGACCGUGAGAGCUUGUCAUGGGCUAAGUUGGUACACCCAUGCAGGGAUUUGAACUUUCAAAAGCCGUGCCCGCGGUUAUGGGCAGAUGGGAAUUUGUUAAUGUCCGGUUGUAGUUAACUUGAACCUUAACUUAAUUAAAAUGAGUCAACCGCGUGUGUAACCGUGAUGGUCUCUUUCUGGCGGAGUCCGGGAAGUGAACAUGGUUGUUGGAGUUAUGCUUGACGUAGGUUGUUUUAGGAUCACUUCUUGAUCAUAGAUUUCUCGAACGUGCUUUGCCUUCUCUUCUCGCUCUCUUUUGCGUAUGUUAGCCACCAUAUAUGCUAGUCGCUUGCUGCAGCUCCACCUCAUACCUUUAACCUUACCUAUGAGCCUAAAUAGUCUUGACCGCGAGGGUGUGAGAUUGCUGAGUCCCCGUGGCUCAUAGAUACUUCCAAAACCAGCUUGCAGGUGCCGAUGAGCCCAUGCCGAUGACGCAACCAAGCUCAGGGGGAGCUCGAUGAAGAUCUUGUUCCUUUGUGUUGUUCCGUUCUAGUUGAUCAGUAGUGGAGCCCAGUUGGGGUCGAUCAGGGACCUUUGUCGCAUUUGGGGUUCUUCUUUUAUUUUGGUUCCGUAGUCGGACCUUGAUUGUAUUUGGAUGUUGUAAUGCUUUAUUCAUGUAAUUGUGUGAAGUGGCGAUUGUAAGCCAACUAUGUAUCUCUUUCCCUUAUGUAUUACACGGGUUGUGUGAAGAUUACCUCACUUGCGACAUUGCUUUCAAUGCGGUUAUGCCUCUAAGUCGUGGUUCGACACGUGGGAGAUAUAGUCGCAUCGAGGGCGUUACAAGUUGGUAUCAGAGCCUUCCCCGACCUUAGGAGCCCCCAUUGCUUGAUCGUUUUUAGCAGCCGAGUUGUGUCUAGAAAAAUGUUUUGAGUCAUUUAGUAUUAUAUAUCAGAGAGUUUAGGAAUUCCUUUUACUUCCCAGUCUCCUCAUCGCUCUGGUAAGGCAUCCUGACGUAGAGUUUUGACUCUUCUCUUCUCAAAUUUCACUAAAUUUUUUUUAGGAUCACGCGGGUAUCUUGGAAUCAUUCCGAUGGUUUUGUGUCGAGAACAUUGUCUUGGUGCCUCCUGUCAGGGGUUUUGUGGCAGUGUCCGAGGGAGUUGAGCUCCGAGGUGUUGUCGUCACAAUUUUAUCGUUGCAGUUCUGGAAUACCUGAGUUUAGCACGCCGACAUCGGAAAUAUCUUUUAUGUAGUUCGUUGGUGAGAUAACCUCGACGCCACCCAGUACUGGGGCGGGAUUUCGGGAGUAUCGCCAUAACUUGUAUAACGGAUGCUUUUCGAAGGUUGAGGUAGAUGGUUUCCGAAGUUUUUCUCGGUUAUGUGUUGAAGGAUGGAUACAGCUGGAUGUAGGAUUUGCUAGAUUUGGGUGAGAUAUUAUGCUUCCCCUGUAUCCCCAACACCUGAUUGCAUAAUCGGAAAGGUUCGGGAGUUUCAUAGGUGGGAAUUCAAGUAGCUCUUAGGAUAUCUUUCCGACAGAUGUAUGAUUUGAAAUUGGGGUUCGACGUCUAGUGGCCCGCCUAUUCACGGUCGGUUUUACAGUGGUCUCAUUGUGUCUUAAAGAGUCCUUGGCUAUGCCGACUCGGGGACGCUUCGUAUGUCAUGUGCACUACCUUGUACAUGAUGGUGCUGUACGAUCGAGCCUGUGUAGGCCCCACCACGAAAACUUCGGACGAAAUCUCUAUCAUAUGUUUGUUCCGGCUUAUCCUGCAAGCCAAUCUUUGUUUUUGUUUUGAGUUGUGGUAUUCGAGUUGCUUCGAAGUCAAAUGUUGAUUCCAUACCUUUUCCUAAGCGGUGUUCUCAAAUUCCUAUGUGAAUACCAAUCCUUCAUGAUAAUCGAGAUUGUCUUUCCAAUCCUUUUCAACCGGCGUGUUUCUCUUCAAGUGGAUCCGACCAGUUCAAUUUUCGCAAGAUCAUUGAUCAGUUCUUCUCAACGGUGUUUGUUUCAUCCAUCUCCAAGCUACCUUUGUUUUCCCGCCCACCCACCCCUUUUCUUCAAGGACUAAGAUUUCGUAAUCCAGUGUCAUCUCAUUGAUGAGAAUCCUCUCCAUUCUUUUCCUUCAAUGUUCUUACCCUGUGAUUCUCAUGAAGAUACUAAUGGAGCAUCAAGUUCGUCAUUCCUCAUUCCUUUUCUUCUCCGGUGGUUUCAAGUCAAACUUUGUGGAUUAUAUCAUUUUCCUCAUUUCAAUACUUUCUCAUGCCGGUGCUAUUCUUAAUCCUUCACCUCUCGCUAUUCUAUUGUCCCGGAGUGCUCAAGAUAUCUCAGAAGGCUCAUCUUUUCAUUCAAGAUCAGUUCAACCUAUUUCGAGGUUGUUAUCCCAUUCAAGCCAUUUUAUUCAACCGGUGCAAUCCUCUCUUUUAAAUCAUUCAAUAGUGUUUCUUUUGAGUGGGCCCUAACCCACAGGUUUUUUCCCAGGAUCUUACCUGACUCUUCUUAUUUUUCCAGGGCUUCUCAAAUUGUUUUCUAAAGUUUGACGUAAGAAUGAAUUAUCAUCAGUCAAAUGUGUUUCUCCAAGAUCCUUCAAAAUCUUUUCAUCAUUGGCUCAACCUCUUCGUUUUGAUUCUUCCGGAGUGUCUAAAUAAUUCAUGGUGAUGUUCUCGUCGUCAUUCUCGGAUUUUGAAGACCGAAGAAGAGUUUCUCUUUAAUCUUUCUCCAUUCUCUUCUAGACUCAUGGGUCUAUCUUAUUGCCAUUCUCUCACCAUUGUAUUCAUUUGUCAGUAUUUCUUUUCACCCAUCCGGAGCAUUUCAUGAGUUGUUUCCCAUUCAUUUCCUCCGAAGGCCAUCAUUUCAAAUAUUAUUCAUUUUCAGCUUUCAGCUCUCCUCUAAAUCUUACCGUGCGUCAUCCAAGUAGUCUCUUCCCAGCUCGGGAUCUCUUCGUUUCACUUGUAUCUAAAUUCUCUCAAGCAUCUUCGUUCAUUUGCAAAUUCUUCCCGGUGUUUCGUUAUCUUUUAUUCAUUCAUUUUCAAUUCUUACGUUGGUUUGCUCAAGAUUCUCUUCCAUGGUGGUCAUAUCAAUUCAUUCGUUGUUUCAAUUCUACCGGUGGUUCGUUGAAGACCUUCUCAAGUUUGCGCUAUAUCUCUCUUAAUCUUUCUAUGAGGAUAAGUACUAUGCCAAAUCCGUUGCUUGCCAGCAAUUAAAUUGUUGAAGGAUACGCAUAACAUAAUUCUUAUUCUUGUUCCAUCCAAGUGAUUAAUUCCUUUUUUCCGGAGUGGUUCAUCAUAUCAUAUUCUCAGUUCGAGAUGCCUUAUCUUUUCUUUCCCGGAGUUCCAAGCUCUAAUUAUCACGGAGAUCCAUUUAAAUCAUUGCAAGGAUUCACCUUGUGUUUUCAAUUUCUCUUUCUUGUUAUUCUUUUCUUACCGGAGUUUCUUCAUGGAGGCUAUACAUGAUGGUUCAUCAAGGAUUAUUCCCUUCUCGAAGCAUUCAUCAAGAUUCUUUUCUAAGGAGCUCAAGUAUUCUCCUUCUUGCAAUCCGGAGUGCAUUUCUUUCUACCAUAUUAUUGGAGAUGGUUUUAUGUCAUUCUUGAUAAUUUGAGCUCAUGUUUCAUGACUCACAGGUUGUAAGAAUGGGGUAUUUUAAAUCCAUCAACCUCUUCGUUCGAAUUACCUUGGGUUAUUUUUCACCUUAAGCCUUCCCUAAGGAUUGUUGCUAUUAUGGUGCUUAUAAGUGAUCUAAGUUCUUCAUUUAUCCUUUCCGGUGCGAUAUACUUUCUCGUCAAUUUGUUUAUAUCAAUCCAAUUCUUCUUCCCGUGAGUGGCAGGUUGUCACCUCAUAAUUUGGGAUGUAUUCCGCAAGACCAUAUCAAGCUUAUUCUUUUCGUUGUUGGUGUUCCAACAACUCCGUUCGACCCUUCUCCUAAAGUUGCUUCUUCAAGCUCAUUUGUGGCAAAAUUGUCAUUUUCUUCUCCGUUCCUUUAUCCCAACAAUCUAACUUCUAUUCUUUUGUUCUGGAAGCUUUGUGAUGCUGCUCUCUUCAACCCAUCUUCUUGUUUUGUCAGGAUCGUGCUCUUUCGCGCUUAUCUAUUCAACCGGAGUAUUGUGCCCUUUUGCUCAAGUUCUUUCUUUUAUCAAGUCUUGCAUCCCUUCGCAACCGGAGUGCUGCCCGAAUUUGUUCUUCCUUGUUCUUUUUCCGAACAGGGUGAUUUCAACUUCGCUCAUUCUCGUUGCAUUCUUUCUUUCAAUUUGUUCAACCUCUCAAGGCUCGUGGUUUCACUCGUUUGUCGUAAGAAGCAACUUAGUUUUACCUCUUCUCUUUCUUUUCCGUUUUUCCCUCCGGUGCCAUUCUUGAUCUCGGGACGAGAUCCUCUCGUAGUGGUGGAGUGUUGUAACGCCCCGAGACCGAUGUGCCGGGUGUCGUCCAGUUAUUCGCUGUUGUUGCCUUGUCAUUUCUUGUGCGUCAUGCAUUUCAUAUCAUGUCAUCAUGUGCAUUUCAUUUGCAUAUGUGUUCGUCUCAUGCAUCCGAGCAUUUUCCCCAUUGUCCGUUUUGCAUUCCGGCGCUUCGUUCUCCUCCGGUGGUCAUUUCUACCUUUCUUUCGUGUGUGGGGAUUAAACAUUUUUGGAUUGGACCGAGACUUGCCAAGCGGCCUUGGUUUACUACCGAUAGACCGCCUGUCAAGUUUCGUACCAUUUGGACUUCGUUUGAUGCUCCAACGGUUAACCGAGGGACCGAAAAGGCCUCGUGUGUGUUGCAGCCCAACACCCCUCCAAAUUGGCCCAAAACCCACCUAAACCUCUUCCAUCAUCUCGGUCGUUCGAUCACGAUCGCAUGGCCGAAAACCGCACCUCAUUUGGACUCUCCUAGCUCCCUCUACCUAUAAAUAUGUGCUUCCCCCCGAAAUUCGCGGAGGAACCCUAGCUUUCUUCCACCUCCAGCCGCCGGACAUGUCCAUCCCAGACCGGACAUGUCCGCGCCGCCCUCCUCAGCGAAUCCCGCUUCGCCUCCUGUCUCCGCCGCCUUCUCUCUCCUCACCUGCGCCGCCGCGGCCCUGCGGGCCCAAGGUCGGCCCACCCUGCCCGAGCGCCCUCCGCGCGCCUGCCCACGGCAUCCCGAGGCACGCGCCGCCCGCCGGGGNNNNNNNNNNNNNNNNNNNNNNNNNNNNNNNNNNNNNNNNNNNNNNNNNNNNNNNNNNNNNNNNNNNNNNNNNNNNNNNNNNNNNNNNNNNNNNNNNNNNNNNNNNNNNNNNNNNNNNNNNNNNNNNNNNNNNNNNNNNNNNNNNNNNNNNNNNNNNNNNNNNNNNNNNNNNNNNNNNNNNNNNNNNNNNNNNNNNNNNNNNNNNNNNNNNNNNNNNNNNNNNNNNNNNNNNNNNNNNNNNNNNNNNNNNNNNNNNNNNNNNNNNNNNNNNNNNNNNNNNNNNNNNNNNNNNNNNNNNNNNNNNNNNNNNNNNNNNNNNCGUGGUCGCCGUCGCCGGCGUCCGCCGAACGCCGCACCACCACCCGGCCUCCGCGACACCGCCCUCCGCCGCCCUCCUCUCCCGGCCGGCGAGCCGCUCCGGCAAGCCCCCCUCACUCCGGCGAAAUCCUCCCCGGCGAGAUCCGUCUCCGGCGAACCUCGGGCUGUGUGCAUGAACAGUACCCGCGCUUGAUCUGGAUCUGAAAAUCCCCCGCGGUUGACUUUCUCAUCCCUAACCCUAAUUAUUUUGCAUAUUUUGACCUGUUGUAUCUCCGCAUCUGUCGCUCCAUUUUGGGCAUAUAGCAUAUCAAAAUGUUCGUCUCAGAGAGCACAUCAUUUCAUAUCAUUGCAUCAUUUUAAUUUGAGUUCAUCUUGAUGCCCGAAAUGCUGUUGGAAGAGUGCUAUUUGAGAUAAUUGUCAGAUCUGCUGCUCCAAUUAGCUAUUUGUCAUUUUUGCCAUGAUUAAUGUGUGCAUGAUAUGCCCCUGAGCUCUACAUGUUUUUUGUUAUAUGUUUUGCCAUCUAUCCAGAGGUGCAACCCAUGUAUUUUUGUGAUGUGUGUGGUGACUAGCACAAGCUUGCAAAGUGGAGCAUUCGUUAAUGCUGAUUUCAGGGACUUAGCAUUUCCACUAAGUCCUUGAUCUAUUUAUCUCAAUAUGCCAUAUGUUCAUGUUGAUUCCUAGUGAUCCGUGCCUCUUUUGAGGAUGAUCAGUAAGGAUGUUUUGUUAAUUUUGUAGUGCUCUAUCCAUCCAUGUCUUUGUUUGCAAUUGUGGAGCAGCCUAGCUUGAGUCAAUCGAGCUCUACUUUUGCUAUUGCGUGAAUCUGGGCAGAUUGUCUACUUGUUAGCGAUUUUGCCGAGGAUGUUGUAGUUGAUCCGUGCAUGCCAUGUUAUUGUUCUUACCAUGUCUAGCUUGUAUAAUGUGUAUUCUUGAUGGGUGUAUGCUUAGAUUGUCAUGCCUUGCUCUGUAGUGAGUGCAUCGAGCUCGUUAACAUGUCUACUUGAUAUCUGUUUUCAGCAUGCUCCAGCUUUCACUAAGUCUGAGAACUGAUUAUGUUUUUGCCAUGUUCACAUGCUUGCAAUUGUAUUUUAUGAUCCCUUUCGGCUCAAGGUCACUAAGGGACUUUUGUUAAGCUCUUUGAGUAGCUCCAUGCCAUGCUUUACUUUGCCAUGUUCAGGUCCUGUAGCAUAUAGUUUUCAUGCUCCAAAGUGUGCUACCUGGUCUGAAAUUCCAGACAAGUGUUAAUUUCACUAAGUCUGAAACCUGUUUACCAAUUGCACUUUUGCCAUGCUUGUUUGAACCUGUUAAUGGAUGAUUUGGCCGUAGCUCGGUGCUAGACUUUUGUUAAGCAUCUUGAAUGGAUCCCUGCCAUGUAUUUUGUUGUCAUGUUUGAGUGUUGUAGCAUGUUCAUCUUGUUGCAUUUAGAUGGCUACUUGCUGUAAAUCGCAGAUCGUGGUCAUAUUUGAAUCGUUUGCCAUUUCCAAACCAUAACUCCGAUUCCGGUGAUCUUUAUAUAGUUUUCAAGCGAUUUCACCUCACCUUUUCAGUGGCACACUUGGAUUUCCAAGUUGAGGCCAGGUUCAAUCAUUCCUUGUCAAAUCAUGCAUAUGCAUCGCAUACCGCAUCCCGCAUAUCAUACCAUGUUCAUGUGUUGGUUGUUUACUAUGUUGUGUGCUUCUUUCCGGUGGUUGCUUCUUCGGGUUGGUUCCGGUAACGUCGCGUUUGUGAGGACCCGUUCGUCUACGUCCGUUUGUCUUCUUCAUGGACUCGUUCUUCUUCCUUGUGGGAUUUCAGGCAAGAUGACCAUACCCUCGAAAUCACUUCUAUCUUUGCUUGCUUAGUUGCUCGCUCUUUUGCUAUUUCUAUGCUGCGAUACCUACCACUUGCUUAUCAUGCCUCCCAUAUUGUUGAACUAAGCCUCUGACCCACCUUGUCCUAGCAAACCGUUGAUUGGCUAUGUUACCGCUUUGCUCAGCCCCUCUUAUAGUGUUGUUAGUUGCAGGUGAAGAUUGAAGUUUGUUCCUGGUUGGAACAUGGAGAUGUUGUUCCUUGUUGGAACAUGUUUACUUGUUGGGAUAUCACAAUAUAUCUUAUUUAAUUAAUGCAUCUAUAUACUUGGUAAAGGGUGGAAGGCUCGGCCUUAUGCCUGGUGUUUUGUUCCACUCUUGACGCCCUAGUUUCCGUCAUAUCGGUGUUAUGUUCCCGGAUUUUGCGUUCCUUACACGGUUGGGUUAUAAUGGGAACCCCUUGACAGUUUGCUUUGAAUAAAACUCCUUCAGCAAGGCCCAACCUUGGUUUUACCAUUCGCCACCUAGCCUUUUUCCCUUGGGAGUCGCGCAUCCCGAGGGUCAUCUUAUUUUAACCCCCGCGAGCCAGUGCUUGUCUAAGUGUUGGUCCAACCCAGAGCACCGUGCGGGGCCGUCCCUUGGCAACUUGGAUUACGUUGGCUCCUAUACGCUUAGCUUAUCCGGUGUGCCCUAAGAACGAGAUAUGGGCAGCUCCUAUCGGGAUGUCGGCGCAUGGGGUGGUCUUGCUGGACUUGUUUUACCAUUGUCGAGGAUGUCUUGUAGAACCGGGAUACCGAGCCUGAUCGGAAUGUCUCGGGAGGAGGUCUAUUCCUUCGUUGACCGUGAGAGCUUGUCACGGGCUAAGUUGGUACACCCCUGUAGGGAUUUGAACUUUCAAAAGCCGUGCCCGCGGUUAUGGGCAGAUGGGAAUUUGUUAAUGUCCAGUUGUAGAUAACUUGAACCUUAACUUAAUUAAAAUGAGUCAACCACGUGUGUAACCGUGAUGGUCUCUUUCCGGCGGAGUCCGGGAAGUGAACAUGGUUGUUGGAGUUAUGCUUGACGUAGGUUAUUUUAGGAUCACUUCUUGAUCAUAGAUUUCUCGAACGUGCUUUGCCUUCUCUUCUCGCUCUCUUUUGCGUAUGUUAGCCACCAUAUAUGCUAGUCGCUUGCUGCAGCUCCACCUCAUACCUUUAACCUUACCUAUGAGCUUAAAUAGUCUUGAUCACGAGGGUGCGAGAUUGCUGAGUCCCCGUGGCUCAUAGAUACUUCCAGCUUGCAGGUGCCGAUGAGCCCGUGCCGAUGACGCAACCAAGCUCAGGAGGAGCUCAAUGACGAUCUUGUUCCUUUGUGUUGUUCCGUUCUAGUUGAUCAGUAGUGGAGCCCAGUUGGGGUCGAUCGGGGACCUUUGUCGCAUUUGGGGUUCUUCUUUUAUUUUGGUUCCGUAGUCGGACCUUGAUUGUAUUUGGAUGUUGUAAUGCUUUAUUCAUGUAAUUGUGUGAAGUGGCGAUUGUAAGCCAACUAUGUAUCUCUUUCCCUUAUGCAUUACACGGGUUGUGUGAAGAUUACCUCACUUGCGACAUUGCUUUCAAUGCGGUUAUGCCUCUAAGUCAUGCUUCGACACGUGGGAGAUAUAGUCGCAUCAAGGGCGUUACACUCGCCUCCAUAGAUGCCGAUGGGUAAAUCAGAAAUUGUUGAUGAGCCACCAACUAAGCCGCCAGCUCGGCCUCCCGACGCGCCCUGCCCUGAUCCACCAAAGCCUGAACAUCGUUACUACCACACGGCGGGUCAUGCCUAUGAGGCUGGUUAUGUUGCCGCUCACUGCUUGAAACUGCUAGCGAGUCAAUAUGCCUGCUAUAACUCCGGCUUGGACAAUGGGUUGAAUGAAUUCAUUCAUGGAUGUACGAAUAAGCCGCCUGUUAAGCCAGCGCUGUCUGAAGAAGCUCUCCGGCCCUCCGUAUCUCCAUCGCAGCUGGUGACUCGCCUUCAACGGGGAGAGCCGCCAAUCGUGUAGCCGCAGCAAUCAUGUUGUCUAGAGGGUUAGAAUAAUGACCCGGCGGUGUCGGAACAUGCUGAGGCGGAGUCAAACUCAAAUGAGGCGGGUCUACAGCACGUGGCCGAACCGGAGCUUUGGUCACGGGUGUCUCAACGGCCUGGUUCACCACGGGCAGGUCAUUGUUCCCUGCCCCAGGCGUGUUGAAAAGGUUCCUAGCUUCAAACUCUAUGGGUAGACGGGUCUGGUGCCUCCUCCUCAUGAUAGUGUUUAAAACGUUCUGAUCCAAGGUGAGCCGGAACGACUCUGCCUGGAUCCGCUGUGAUUCAGCAAGUUCUUCCUUGGCUUCAGCUAUCUCACCUCGCAGCCUCGCGACACCCACCUUAUGCUGUUCUUGAGUCUCUGGGUUACCUCUGCCCCCAUUAAGGUUGCCAAAGCAUCCAACAACUUAGUCAAAACCUGAGUCGGCGGGCGUGCAGAGCUGCUGACACCAGUCGUCGCUGCAGCCGUUGAGCUGGAGGUCAUAGCCGCAGCAGUCGUUGAAGCAAGCACCGGUUGUGUACCGGCCAUGAAGAUCGCAACCUUGUACGACGGAUCAUAGGGGUCCGGAAUACUGUCACCAUCGGAACAGGCCCCAAGCAUGCCGUCCUGCAGUUGAUACAUUGAAUCGGUCUCACCAGUUGAAGACUCACCAUCAGAGCAGAUUACCGUGUCACCCCUGGACAUAGAUCCUUCCUCAAGAUCCGCCCCACGGAUGAAACCAACAAAGACAUGCUUCGUGGCGGCUUGAACCUUGGCGGGCCGUGCGUGCUGAGCCAUCUUGAUGAUGUCGGUGCAGGUGUCCGGCUCAGGCUUCGAAUCACCGAUCUUGCCGAUGAAGACAUGGAUUCCGCCAAAGGGGACCCGGUACCCGUACUCAAUUGAGCCGGCCUCGGGGCCCCAGCCAGCGUCGUCGAUGUAGAGCUUGCCGCGUCGACUCUUGGUCAUCCGACCCACAGCAUAUCUCUUGAUCCCUGUGAAGUUGCCCUUCAAGAACUCGAAAUCACCGUGCGCUGGCCCCAUGGUGGGCGCCAAUUUUCAUGGACUUAACACGGCAGAUGCCCUAGCGAAAGGACUUAGGUGUCGGGCCAUCACAGCUAAGUUAGCUUGAAAGGGGUUAAAAUGAGACAAAUGACACAUGGAGUUUACCCAGGUUCGGCCCCUCUCAACGAGGUAAAAGCCUACUCCUGCUUUAGGUUGUAUUGCUUGGGUUUCGAUUACCAGGGAGCGAAUACGCUUGACCUAGUUCUCGAUGAGUUGUUUCUUGAGUUAACCCGCCGCCGGGUCACCCCUUUAUAUACACAGGUUGAUGCCUGGCGGUUUACAGAGUCCCGGCCAGCUCAUACACAACGUGUCCGACCCGAUAACUAACUAAGCUUGCCUUACAAUACAAGUUAAACAUAUGGCGGCUCACGCCCGUGGGCCUCAAUUCGUCCCCGGGUCUUCGGCCUUCAAUAAGCUUGCUCUAUGAACCGCCAUCUUCAUAUCUUCUUGGGCCUCUUCAUCUUGAGCCGCCAGUGGCAUGACUCGGCCCCUCCUGGGUGGGUCAUACCCAGUAGUUAUAUCCCCAACAGGAGGGGCAACAAGGAUGAUGAAGAACCCCUCCACGAUCCUUGCCCCCUCCGGCAGAGUGUCGUGCUUCUGGAACUUGCGGCUGCGGAAACUGUAUUAUCUCAACUCCCCUAGGGUUUUUGGGAUUUUAGAGUAUUUAUUGAGGCGAAGGUCGGUGGAGAAGCUUCCCGUGGGCUUCACUACCCACCAGGGCGCGCCGGGGACCUUUGGCGCGCCGUGGUGCCUAGUGGGCUGCACGGGCCUCCUCCCGUGCACUUCUUUGGCUCCUUGGGUGUCUUCUCUCCAAAAAAAUCUCCAAAAAGUUUCGUGGCAUUUGGACUCCGUUUGGUAUUGAUAUUCUGGAAAGUAAACAGCAACUAGCACCGGAUACUAUGUCAAUAGGUUAGUCCCAAAAAAUGAUAUGAAGUUGCUAGUAAAUGAAUAUAGAACAUCCAAGAUUGAUAAUAUAACAACAUGGAACAAUAAAAAACUAUAGAUAAGUUGGAGACGUAUCAGCAUCCCCAAGCUUAAUUCCUGCUCGUCCUCGAGUAGGUAAAUGACAAAAACAAAUCGUUUGAUGUGGAAUGCUCCCUAGCAUGUUCAUCACAUAUUCUUUUCUUUUGUAGCAUGGACAUUUGGACUUUUAGAUGGUUCAAAGCAAUAGUCUAUAAUUGACAUGAGGACAUCAAUACUCAAGCAUAUCAAGAAGCAACCAUGUCUUUCAAAAUAUCAACACUAAAGAAAGCUAUCCCUAGCUCAUUAUGCUCAAUCAUUGAUCCAUUCAUGAAACACACUCAAAUAUUAACUAUGCCCAAUGCACAAGUAUGAUAAAAGUGGGUCGAAAAGGGAACUUUUGCUCUCAUGCACCCAUCAUGCACCCUACCAAACACACCCUAAACUAUUGAAUGCACAUCUAAACCAAUUUUAUUGUACUGUGAUAAUGAACCCGUAGUUUUCUAUAUGAGUAAAAACAAGUCAAGUGAUGCUGCCAAACAUACUAACAUCAAGUUUCGUGUUGUGGAAGAUAGAAUUUAGUAUCAAACAAUUGAUCUUAAACAUAUAAGAACGAGGGCAUACGUUUGCAGAUCCGCUAACUAAAGGCUGACCACCCUGUAUUUUUCGUGAGCAUGUUGUCGGCAUGGGAUAACUGGAAGCCCUAUGAUUCUGGAAUAAGAGGACCAUUAUAAUAAACCACUCCCUAGUAAGCAAAAAGUUUUCCAUUUUGAAAUAGGUGAGUGUGCUAUGAGUGUUGAUGUUCUAUGGCAUUUUGAGCUGUUAUAACACCUCACUUUGGUACAUCAUUCCUUUGGUGAAUGGGCGAAUGCAGUUAAGCCUAAUGAUCAAGGGGGAGAAUGUUAGUUUUGAUCUGACGGCUAAAUAGGUAGUUAGUUCUAAUAGCUUAACACAAAAAGGAAAAGAAUAACGUUACAGGGGAGGGGCAACGCCCCAACGUACGUGCCCAUCUAUCCUAACUGAUGCGCCCUGAGCAGGUCCAUCCAAACCAACUAAUGGUUUAGGUCCCCUGUCGAUAGCGCCAUAUAAAAGGGACAUGGGAGAGAGCUGGCUCACCUGCGCGAUCAUAAUUCUUAUAACAUUUUACUCUCCUCCCGAUAUUCUCUCACCCCAUCCGAUCAGGGGGAGCGCUGCAGCGAUGGGAAGACCUAACCCAAAUACCACCGCCGUCUCUGGACAGUGUCGGUGGCGCCUGAAGGAAUUAGGAUAUCAAGGAGAUCGUCUACUUCGACUACAUCACCCCUCCAUAUCACCUUCACCGAGCAGGUGAUCAUGUCAACUUUUGUGACAAGUAAAGGACCCCUAAACCUUCUUCGGUCAUGUUUUUUAGGUGAUCUAGAUGCAGUGAGAUCAUGAGUACGACAUCCUAGUUAUGCAUUAGUUCUAACAACUAGAUCUCAGUGGACUGGCAUCUUACCAAGUCUUAGUCAAUUGACACAACCUAUAGAAAGAACAAAGAAAAAAGGAAAAAGAAAAUUUGCAUGGAUCUUCCCGUAAUAUCUCACAAAUAUAGCAUUGACUGACUCAGUCGACUGAGAUUUAGCAAUCCCAUUUUGUCUAAUGUGUUGGUGAUGCCAAUAACACCAAGGAUAUGGCUAGAACGUGCGAGUGCUGUCAUGGAGCAAGGCACGUGUAUAUUACCAUAAACAGACUUUUGCACCGCUUUGUAGACUUAUUGUAGAAGUAAAGGCUACACAUGAUAUGGUGGCUGGCCUUUCUUGCCGUUGGUUUGCUUUAUGUACCACCUUUUCUUUUGGUUUUCCUCCAUGGAGCAAUCUAUUGAUACAAAAUUAUAUUUAAAUUUGAAAGGUUAUUGUUUAGUAGGGGGGCAUUCUGGAUUCCCAAUUACAUAUAGAAGAUUUUGAUGCCUCCUUUCUUGGCACAAAAUGAAGGAACACAUACACCGAUAAGUGCAGUCUUGUACCGCUUGUGAGUAGGAAAAGACUAAAAGGGUUAACUACCCAGGCUCAUGGAGCCACUACUACUUCCCGAAGGAGCUUGGCAAGUUGUCGCAAUGGAUUUUAUCGAUGGCAUGUCGCAAUCCAACAAGUAUAAUUGCAUUUUGGUGGUCGUUGACAAAAUCACGUGCUACACUCAUUUCCUUCUUUGAGUCACCCCUUCACGGUAGCUAAGGUAGCCCACUCUUACCUUGACAAUGUCUACAAAAUUCAUGGGUUGCCAACGACAAUUAUCUUUGAUUGUGCCCCGAUGUUUGACGAGCAAGUUCUGGAGGGAACUACUCCCUCCAUAAAGAAAUAUAAGAGUAUUUAGAUCACUAAAGUAGAAAUCUAAACACUCUUAUAUUUCUUUACAGAGGAAGUAUUUAGCAUCAUUGGGACAUAACUGAAAAUGAGCACUCCUUAUCAUCUAUAAACAUACGGACAGACAGAGAGGGUGAAUCAGUGCCUGGAAAUAUUUUGCGCUGUUCAUGGCUCUUUAUGGUCAUGAACCCAUACAAUGAGGUAGUGUCUGACAUCUCGUCGAAAUCUUCAUCCAUGUUGGUUGCCUCCUCGGAGGCGCUUGCUAGAAUGUCGGUCAAAUCCUCGACAGUAGUGACUAGGUGGGUGGAGGGUGAGCUGAAAAUUCUAGCUUCUCCAAAUUUCCCCCAGAUCUGAUCGUAAACUUAGGUUCGAUCGUCCGAGAUUGCAAGGCUCUGAAUCCGAUCUAACAUGUCGUUCAAAAGUGCUUUGUCGGCCUCGCACAUAUCCUAUCUGAAAGUUGGGCUUAGCUGGAGUUUGCCCGAGGUCCCAUCUGACAUAGCCUUGCUACUUCUUGAGCUUGCGUUGGUUUUUCCUUUGAAGAGGAAAGGGUGAUGCAACAAAGUAGAGAUAAGUAUUUCACUCAGUUGAGAACCAAGGUAUCAGUCCAGUAAGAGGAACACAAGCCACCAAUGAUUGCACCUAGACAAACAGACAAAUACUUGCACCCAACGCGAUAAAGGGGUUGUCAAUCCCUUCACGGAUACUUGCAAGGAUGAGAUCUGAUAGUGAUAGAUAUAAAAGGUAAAUAAAAGUGUGAAAUAAAAUAAAAGUAAAUAAAUUGCAGCAAGGUAUUUUUGUGUUUUUGAUUUUAUGGAACUAAAAGUAAUAUGAUAAAAGAUAGAUCCGGGGGCCAUAGUUUUCACUAGAGACUUCUUCUUGAAAGAAAGCAUAUGGUGGGUAAACAAAUUACUGUUCAGCAAUUGAUAGAAAAGCGCAUAGUUAUGACGAUAUCUAAGGCAGUGGUCAUGUAUAUAGGCAUCACGUCCGUGACAAGUAGACCGAAUCCUGCCUGCAUCUACUACUAUUACUCCAUACAUCGAUCACUACCAUCAUGCAUCUAGUAUAUUAAGUUAACAAGAAUAGAGUAAUUCCUUAAGCAAGAUGACAUGAUGUAGAGAGAUAGAUCCAAUCAAUAUGAACAAACCCCAUCUUUUUAUCCUUAGUGGCAACAAUACAAAUAUGUGUCAUGUCCCUUUCUCUCACUAGGAAUAAGCACCGCAAGAUUGAACCCACUAUAAAGCACCUCUCCCACUGCAAGAAAAAUCAAUCUAGUUGGCCAAACCAAAUCAAUAGACCGGAGAGAAAUACAAGCUAUCUUAAUCAUGCAUAAAAGAGUUUAGAGAAGACUCAAAUAAUAUUCAUAGAUAAUCUGAUCAUAAAUCCACAAUCCACCGGAUCUUAACAAACGCACCGCCAAAGAAGAUUACAUCGAAUAGAUCUCCAAGAACAUCGAGGAGAAUGUUGUAUUGAAGAUCAAAGAGAGAGAAGAAGCCAUCUAGCUACUAGAUAUGGACCCGUAGGUUUGUGGUAAACUACUCACACAUCAUCGGAAGGGCAGCAAGGUUGAUGUAGAAGCUCUCUAUGGUUGAAUCCCCCUCCAGUAGAGUACCGGAAAAGGUCCCCAGAUGGGAUCUUAGGAAGACAGAAACUUGCAGCUGCAGAAAAGUAUUUUUCGUGUGCCCCUGGUCUAUGGGGAAUAUUUUAGUAUUUAUAGAAGAAGAAUUAGGGCUGAAGGAGCAAUAGGGGGCCCACAAGCCUGGUGGCGCCCCCUAGGCGUGCCCUCCAAGCUUGUCGUCUCCUCGUGGCUCUUCUGGCCUCCUUCCGAAGCUUCUAGGGUGUCUUGUGGUCCAAGAAAAUUCAUCAAAAAUUUUCGUUCCGUUUGGACUCCAUUUGGUAUUGAUUUUCUGUAAGAUAAAAACAAGGAAAAAACAACAACUGGCACUGGGCACUAGGUUAAUAGGUUAGUCCCCAAAAAUGAUAUAAAAUAGCAUAAUAAUGCAUAUAAAACAUCCAAGGUUGAUAAUAUAAUAGCUAGAACAAUAAAAAAUUAUAGAUAUGUUGGAGUCGUAUCAGGCCUCGUGGACUUAGUCGGUCGAACUUGAUAUCUGAUCCAUUGGGAUAAUGUUCAGUUCUAGGCUCGAGACCAGAUCCAAGGUGUGAUCCGCGCCGUGGUCCUAAUGCGAGAUUGAAUCUGAGAUCGGUGUGAAGGCGUCGGUGAGGUCUUUGGACCGGUCCGACACCCAGCCUGGAAACACAAGUUCACCGCGGGUAUCCGGAGCGUAUUCUAGGUUUCCAAACCUGAUAGUAUGUCUUGGAGGGAAAUUCUUGAUCUGGUCGAGGUGGCCAGUCAAAUCGGCAUAGAGCGUGAUGCUUCCGAAGACAAAGAGCUGUCUAGGGAAAAAGGUAUUCCCACAAAUGAUGUUGUCGUUGAUCCAAAGGUGAGCCAUCAAGCCGUCUUGACCACACAGUGGGACCUGCAUGGGCUGCCAAUGUUUAGGGUUGAAUCCGACGGAUCUCAGGUAGGGGGUCCCGAGUUGGUGAUCUUGACUAGAUGGUAACAUGACAAACAGGGUCGUGAUGUUUUACCUAGGUUUAGGCCCUCUCGAAGAGGUAAAACCCUACAUCCUGCUUCUGGUGUAUUGAUGGUGGAUGGGGUACAAAGUAUAGGAUUAUCUACCUCGAAAUCGUAUGUGAAUGUAUAGGCACUUGGGGUACUUAGGGUUACGUGUAGGUCAGUUACAUCAAGGGAUAAACAUGCCGAUGAUUCAAAUGUGUCUUGAAGUAUGUGCCAAGUCUUCAGAGAUUCCAUCUUGAUCGUGGGGCAUAGUGGAUGUGGCCCACCUGUCGGUUGUCUGGGGAUCCUCGGCCCAGCCCAUGAUUGGGGGCCAACAUGAUUAGCACCCCUAGUCCGUGACACCGUCAGCCAACGUCGUCACAAAAGGGAGGAAUCCAGAGGAUCAGGCACGGUAUGGCAACAACACCAACUCUUCUGUCUUUUCCAUUUUCGUCUUUCACAAGCCAAACAUCCCUUUGUAAUUGAGAUAGCGUCUGUGAGAUGAAAUGAACUAGAUCGAGCUACCUAACGUUUCCUAUCUCAAUGGCUCAUCUCGGUUUGCUGACUUGUAGCCCUCCUGACGUGGCACUGCACAAUCACCGGUCAAUGCGGUUAAAAUUGAAGGAAAUAUGCCCUAGAGGCAAUAAUAAAGUUAUUAUUUAUUUCCUUAUAUCAUGAUAAAUGUCUAUUAUUCAUGCUAGAAUUGUAUUAACCGGAAACAUGAUACAUGUGUGAAUACAUAGACAAACAGAGUGUCACUAGUAUGCCUCUACUUGACUAGCUCGUUAAUCAAAGAUGGUUAUGUUUCCUAGCCAUAGACAAAGAGUUGUCAUUUGAUUAACGAGUGUUGAAACACGAACACGUCACCGUGUACCUCCAAUGCCGAGAGUGAUGCACCGCAGCUCACAUCGAAGGAGAUCCGACCGGCAGCGCGAUACGCAGGACAACCGACAGACGCUUUUGUAGACCCGAAGCCCCGCUGGAGGGACCCCGUCAGGGCUCGCGGCGGCUAUGGGCUGCUCUAGGUCGAUUCGCUCGCCCCUAGAGUCUCGUGGAUCCGCAGCCUUCCAGCAUGAAGAACUAGCGAAGAACGAGAAGAAAGAUACAAUGGGGAGAUAAAAAGUAGAUGAACACGAAAAAGUAGUAGAUUGAUUUGUUCGAUUGGUGUUGUUUCAAUCGGCCAUCACCCCCAACAUAUAUAAGAGGCGGCUGGACUUCCCGUACAAGCAAAUAAUUUAUCUAGGCUUUCCUUACAAGAAAAUUACAUCAAUUCACGUCCAAAACCCUAGUCAAAUUCGGACUGGUUUAUCCAAACUUUCCAAAACUGUUCGGUUUAAAUUGGCUGCACCUUGCGGGUCUUUUUUGCGGUGGUAAACGAUCUCGGAUGAAAACAAGCCCAAAAGCAAUCUUGACCGUUUUGAUGAGACGAACAACUUUCAUGUUGAAGGUGUUUUGAUCAGAGAUCAUCUUGAGGGUCAGAUCGGUCUCGCAACACAGGCUAUUUCCUCGCGCUACCCGUCAGACAUGUGUCUGGUGGGGCGCGCCACAUCUCGCCUGGUGACAGGGCUGCACUCCGAUUGCUCUAACUUUUGCAUACAAACUCGGAUUUGAACGAUUUUUAUAUCAAAAUCGAUCGUUUCGACGAGACGAAGACAACCCGUGUAGAUCAUUUUUCCAUCCGAGAUCAUCUGAAUAACCUUUUGAGCCCAUCUUCAACUUCUCGUUCGAUUGACUAUCACAGCCUCCAACCCGGCAAGUUUUCCAUCCGAGUAAGCUUUCCACACCGGCAAUGUUUCUACCCGGCAAGCUUUCACACCGACAAGGUUUCACUCCGACAAGGUUUGUACUCCGGCAAGGGUUCCUCCCUGACAUGGUUUCUCCCCCGGCAAGAUUUCACACCGGCAAGCUUCCACACCGGCGAUCUUUUAGUGCCGGCAGGCUUUCCACGCCGGCAAGCCUUCACACCAGCAAUAUUUCACACCAGCAAGAUUUUACCCCAGCAAGGUUUUCGCCCCGGCAUGCUGCUUUAUGAUCGUGCCACUUUUGAGCGUCAACACAUGCCCCCCUGUUUUUUGGUAAAGCUAGCGUGCCGAAAAAUACCUGUACCAAGUUUGUUCUAAGGACGAUGUCAACACUCCAUCGGCCAUUUAUAUGUUCUUAGGACGAUAAGUAUAUAUCGGCCAUGUCUUGUGUGAACUUUUUGAUGCAAACUUGGGUGAAACCUUCUCAGCUUCAUUAACAAUCCGAUGAUAAAGUUCCAUAGAUAUGUAUCUCAAUGUCAUCCUCCGAACCAUAUUGUUCACCCUUUUGCUAGGAUUUUGUAGAUAAUCAACAAUAAACUUUCUCCAAUCCUUACUUUCGCCUGCAUAAAAAUUUCAUUAGUGGCCGAAGUUGUGGACUUCGGUUCGGCCUUACCUACGUUGACGAGACUAAGCAUCGACUAUUGAGAGAAAUGCAAUACAACAUGAUGGACAUGGUAGCCGGAUGCUUGCUAUGCCAACUCUCUCCAAUUGUCAUGUCUAAAUAUAUGAAUAAUUUUAAUGCAACCCAAGGUAAAUUCUUCAUCUAGACAUAACCCAAGAUAAACUAUAAGUGAUUCGUCAAAACACAUUGAUAACCCUUGGAUAUUUGUUGCACUACUCAUAUCGAAUCACCAAAAGCCUCAAUAUGUAUAGCACCUAUAGCAAGUAAAAGAGUCAAUCUGAAUAACAAUGCAUAUUCGGCCUUGAUUAAUCGUGCAUAAAAAUAUUCUAAGCGGCACAAGGCUUCAAAAAAUAGUACCAUAAAGAAAUAUAUAAACAACACCAACACUUUGGCCAUUGCUAUGAAUUGAACCAUCAAAACAUAAUCUCCAUAGUACUAGAGAGACAAGGCUAAUAUUAAUAUUAUGCAUGACACUAAUCCGUUGUUCAGUAACAAAAUCAACUAUGAUUUGGCCUCUUAUAGAUCUCAAAGAUGCAUAAGCCAAAUCAUAUCCAAACAAAGUAUAAGCCCACCAACCAAUUCUGCAGCUAUGAAUUGGUCUAUGCAGCAUAUAUUCAAUGACAUCGGUCAUGAUGUCUCAACUCCAUUCAAUCAUAAUAUAGGCAUACAUAUAAAUUUUCAUGAGCACGUACCUUGUCUCACUCUCCAAUCAAACUAAGGACGAUAUUAGAAUACUACACCGGCCAUGCAUUGACAUACUCUUAGGACGAUAGAUAAAUAUCAUCGGUCAUUACCAUGUAAACUUCAUUCAAAGCACAUAUAGCCGAAAUAAACAAAUGAAAUGACAAAUCAAGUAUUUCGGCCCUUUGGAUCAGCAACAAACUUGUAGCUAAUCAAAUGUAUAGUGACUUGGUAAUACCCUUUCAUGACGUAAGAAAUUAUAUUGCAUCCAUGGAUUAAAAUAAGCCCAUUGAGGGUUACCAAUCAUACCUGAUAACGAAUUCCAUGGCAUAGGCGUUAACGGCAUAGUUGAAGAAUAUGGAUAAUGUGUAGACCAAAGAUGUUGAAACCUUCACCUUGGUCCUUCAUAGUUUUUACUCUUUUCCUUCUUCACUUUUGCCGCACUUCUUGUAAUGGAGGCAUGCACAUAAUUCUUAUUUUGAGCACUUCCUUUGGGAAACCAUGCCAUGUUCCUUUCUUCAAGUUCUUGUGCACUAAGUUUGUGUAAUUCCCUCUUUUGCCAAUACGAUAAGCCGAGUGGGAAUCUCGGCUGUGAUUCUGUUUUGACCAAUGGCAAUUCCUUUUUGACCUUGUGCACUCUCAACUUCUUUUCUUCAGAUUUGGCACUUUAACUCUCAAUAAUUGGUUGCUUCGUCUCCUUGCCUUUUUUAGCCAAUGUCAACACUUUAAUUGGCUCUUUAUUAUUUGAGAUCAAAUCUAAAGUAGCACACUUACGACCAUCUAUUUUCACGCGGUAGACUUGCUUGACCACCUCUUUUUUCAUCCAUGGUGUCCGGACCGAUUCCUUAUAAUUGAAACGGUCUUUAACAUGUGAUUGUUCAAAUGUUGAUCUUCUCGGAGCUACAUAAUAUUGGUGAGAUUUUCUAAAAUAAGAUGGAGAAUGUGCCCUUGUAUCAUACCUGUCCCAUGAUGAAUAUGGAUCUACAUGAGCAUAGGGAGGCAUCCACGACAUUGGCAUUAGCGGCCCAAAAUAAGGAUAUGAAUAUGUUGCAUUGAAACUCUCACUUUGCCAAUACCGAUCCUCAUAUUUGCGCCUUGGGGGUGAUCUUGGUUUCUUUGCAUGAUUAGGCCGAUAAGCAUUCUUCUCUUCACUCUUCUUUUGAUAUUUCUCCAAUAGUUCAGUGAAGGUGAUUUUUGAUCUUUUACACUUGCGCUUAUUUCGGCCUUUGUUUUCUUUUGGUUUGCUUUCAUCGAUCGUUGGAUUUGCUUGCUGCCCCCCCAGUCCUUGGCGUCUCCAUUGUAGCUUCGAUGGAAUUCUUGCCCUCAAGAUUAUGUUCAUUAUGCUCUUUGACAACUUCUUUACUUGAAAGCUUGAUCCCAUCACCUGCAGUUUUUACCUUCUCUUCAAAUGGAUCGGCUUGAAGCAGUCGAUGCAAAAACUUUCUACCAUCGAGACCAAUCGAAAUAGACUGGUCAUCUCUUGGUGUCUCAACAAAUUUCAAUCGUCCUGGCCGAUUUAACUAUUUGACGAAACAUGUUACAAUCCUCAAAAUUAUGCUUGGACGAAUCAUGCAACUUACAAUACAUUCGUCCCUGGACAGAUGGCUCAACAUGGUGAUCAAGAGUUCUAAUAUAAUUAUUCCUCAACAACAAAUCAAAGAUUUGAUCACACAUGUUUGAAUUAAAGGUAAACCUUUUAUUUUCUAGCCGAUCUUGCUGUGAGAACGGCUUUGGAAUUAAGCAAAUGAAUGGUUCAGAUUUUGCACCACACCAUUCGGCUAUGCAUUGUGUUUUGCACUCUAUUUCCGAUGUCUUUGGGCAAGAUAUUAUACUAGCAUUGGUUUUCUCAAUAGAAUUUAACCUUGGCUUUAAAUUUCUAAAACGAAAAUAGUUAGAACAUACAUGUCUCAAUUGAGACCAAGUGCAAGCCAAGUAUGAAAUAAGCAAAGCUACCCAAAUAGAUAUGAACUUUAGAUAAAGCAACGGGGAAAGCUUUGGCUGUAAUAAUAAGUCACUAUCGGUCUUUAUAAAUGGUGCAAUGGGUUGACCGAUAUGUUCCAUAACAAUUUUAUUGCUAAAAAGUAAAUUACCCUUCUUCAUUGGUCUUUCAAAAUUACUUAAGAGGAUUUUUCUGAUGGAUGCAUCAACAAUAAAGUUUAGACCAAAUCUGAAAAUAGGUAAAUUACCUGCUAAACAUACCUCUUCAAAUAUGUUGGGAGAGCAUGAUAGUGGUGUGGCUUGAAAAAUAUCUUGCUUCAUCUUUGGGUGGCUCCCCAAAGCCUCUUCAUCAUCUUUUUCUUUAUUCCGUGAAUCAUUACCUUGAAGAUCCUUAUCAGCCGAACUUUGUUUGGCUACCUGCUCUUGUCCUUGAGGCUUGUCAAUUUCUACGGCACGGAACUCAUAGGGCAGGAAGUAGGUUCCAUUAACUUCAGAAAAAUCAAGCACGGUUGUUUUGCUAUGCUUGCCAUGCCCUUUCUCAAUAAUGCUUGCCUCUUUGGAUUUGAUGGAUUCGGAAUAUAUGCUACUUGAUUCGUCUUUUUCAACCGAAGCACUUUCAAGUUCCAAAUCAUCCUUCUUUUCAUUGAUAAUACCAAUUGGCAAACCUUCUUUUAUCUGAGCCAAUUCUUUUUCUAUUUGUUUCUGACGGCGAGCGGCAAAGUUGGCUUUAAUCUUUUUCUCAAUUUCAGCCCACUCCGGAUACGAUUGCCCCCCAAUGCUUUUAGAUUCUUUCGGCAAUGACACACGAUUGUUGCCAAAAUUUUGCAAUAGUGGGGGUGUAUAAUAUGAUGUAGUACUAGGUGAAGACAUAUGCAUUGUUGUAAAACCAUAUUUUUGCUCACCAAUUUUAUCAAUUGGCAAAGAUUCAUCUUCUUGCAAAACUCUAGUUUUUAUUGCGGCAUAAUCAGGAAAUAGCCCCUUUUCAUGUUGUUCAAGGAAAAGAGCACUAAUCCUCUUAUUUUGGGCUAAACUCUUCAAUGCAGCCACCACUACCUCAUCUUCUACAAUAUUUGGCACAACCGCUCCCGUAAAAUUUACAUUUAUUCGGCUAUGAUCAGAAAGGUGCGAAGCCGAAUUAUGAGCAUCUACAGUUGUGUAUGGUGCCGAAAAAUUCCUAACAUGAGGUGUAGCAUAUGAUGGUUGAGAGUAACUGGCCGAAUAGCCAGUAGUAGCAUGGCCAAUUCUCCCAUCCAUCGGCAAUGUUGGAUUCACAUAUUGCAAAUUAGUUGCCGAUGAAUAAAAAGGUGAAACACUUUCUUGUAUGCUAUUGGAAAUUUUAACAUGCGGUGUUUCAAAUUGAUUAGCCAAACCCAUCAUGUUGUUCAUCGGCAUAUGGAUUUGUGGGGUUGCCGAUGCAUGGGAGUUUGGAUACAUAUGUUGUAUGUUGCUAAAAUUGUAAGAAUUUGAAGCAUGAAGAUUGUUUUGCAUCGGCCCUUCCGCAUAAUUACAUGCAUGAUUGAUAAAACUAGGGCUAGCCGAUACAUUAUGCUCAUUAGGUGAUCUAGCAACAACAUAUGGAUUAUUUGCAUCUACAAAGGUGAAUUGGGUAUUCAUAUUACCUUUGUAGAUUGCAGCAACUUGAUGACGAUCUCUUCGUAGCAAGAACGGGCUGGAGACCGUUCAAAGCUUCAUCCCCAGCGGAGUCACCAAAAAGUGUGUUGACACACGAACAUGUCACCGUGUACCUCCAACGCCGAGGGUGAUGCACCGCAGCUCACGUCGAAGGAGAUCCGACCGGCAGCGCGAUACGCAGGACAGCCGGCAGACGCUUUUGUAGAUCCGAAGCCCCGCUUGCCCGGGAGGGACCCCGUCAGGGCUCGCGGCGGCUAUGGGCUGCUCUAGGUCGAUUCGCUCGCCCCCUCGUGGAUCCACAGCCCUCCAGCAUGAAGAACUAGCGAAGAACGAGAAGAAAGAUACAAUGGGGAGAUAAAAAGUAGAUGAGCACGAAAAAGUAGUAGAUUGAUUUGUUCGAUUGGUGUUGUUUCAAUCGGCCGUCACCCCCAACAUAUAUAAGAGGCGGCUGGACUUCCCGUACAAACAAAGAAUUUAUCUAGGCUUUCCUUACAAGAAAAUUACAUCAAUUCACGUCCAAAACCCUAGUCAAAUUCGGACUGGUUUAUCCGAACUUUCCAAAACUGUUCGGUUUAAACUGGCUACACCUUGCGGGUCUUUUUUGCAGUGGUAAAAAAUCUCGGAUGAAAACAAGCCCAAAAGCAAUCUUGACCGUUUUGAUGAGACGGACAACUUUCAUGUUGAAGGUGUUUUGAUCAGAGAUCAUCUUGAGGGUCAGAUCGGUCUCGCAACACAGGCUAUUUCCUCGCGCUACCCGUCAGACAUGUGUCUGGUGGGGCGCGCCACAUCUCGCCUCGUGACAGGGCUGCACUCCGAUUGCUCUAACUUUUGCAUACAAACACGGAUUUGAACGAUUUUUAUAUCAAAAUCGAUCGUUUUGACGAGACGAAGACAACCCGUGUAGAUCAUUUUUCCAUCCGAGAUCAUCUGAAUAACCUUUUGAGCCCAUCUUCAACUUCUCGUUCGAUUGACUAUCACAGCCUCCAACCCGGCAAGUUUUCCAUCCGAGUAAGCUUUCCACACCGGCAAUGUUUCUACCCGGCAAGCAUUCACACCGGCAAGGUUUCACUCCGGCAAGGUUUGUACUCCAGCAAGGGUUCCUCCCUGACAAGGUUUCUCCCCCGGCAAGAUUUCACACCGGCAAGCUUCCACACCGGCGAUCUUUCUGUGCCGGCAAGCUUUCCACGCCGGCAAGCCUUCACACCGGCAAGCUUUCACACCGACAAGAUUUUACCCCGGCAACGUUUUCGCCUCGGCAUGCUGCUUUAUGAUCGUGCCACUUUUGAGCGUCAACAACGAGACCACAUCAUUAGGAGAAUGAUGUGAUUGACUUGACCCAUUCCGUUAGCUUAGCACUCGAUCGUUUAGUAUGUUGCUAUUGCUUUCUUCAUGACUUAUACAUGUUCCUAUGACUAUGAGAUUAUGCAACUCCCGUUUACCCGAGGAACACUUUGUGUGCUACCAAAAGUCACAAUGUAACUGGGUGAUUAUAAAGGUGCUCUACAUGUGUCUCCAAAGGUACUUGUUGGGUUGGCGUAUUUCGAGAUUAGGAUUUGUCACUCCGAUUGUCAAAGAGGUAUCUCUGGGCCCUCUCGGUAAUGCACAUCACUUAAUCCUUGCAAGCAUUGCAACUAAUGAGUUAGUUGCGGGAUGAUGUAUUACAGAACGAGUAAAGAGACUUGCCGGUAACGAGAUUGAACUAGGUAUUGAGAUACCGAUGAUCGAAUCUCGGGCAAGUAACAUACCGAUGACAAAGGGAACAACGUAUGUUGUUAUGCGGUCUGACCGAUAAAGAUCUUCGUAGAAUAUGUGGGAGCCAAUAUGAACAUCCAGGUUCCGCUAUUGGUUAUUGACCGGAGACGUGUCUCAGCCAUGUCUACAUAGUUCUCGAACCCGUAGGGUCCGCACGCUUAACAUUUCGAUGACAGUUAUAUUAUGAGUUUAUUUGUUUUGAUGUACCGAAGGUUGUUCGGAGUCCCGGAUGUGAUCACAGACAUGGCAAGGAGUCUCAAAAUGGUCGAGACAUGAAGAUUGAUAUAUUGGAAGCCUAUGUUUGGAUAUCAGAAGUGUUCCGGGUGAAAUCGGGAUUUUACCGGAGUAUCGGGAGGUUAACAGUACCCCCCGGGGACUUAAUGGGCCUUAGUGGGCCUUGGUGGAAAGAGAGGAGAGGCGGCCAGGGCAUGGGCCGCGCCCCCUCCCCCCUAGUCCAAAUAGGACAAGGAGGGGGGGAGGGGCGGCGCCCCCCUUCCUUCUUCUCCUCCACCUCUUUCCCCUCUCUCUCCUAGUCCAACAAGGAAAGGGGGGGAGUCCUACUCCCGGUAGGAGUAGGACUCCUCCUAGCGCGCCCCUCUCUAGGCCAGCCACACCCCCCUUGCUCCUUUAUAUACGGGGGCAGGGGGGCACCCCAUAGACACAAGAAUUGAUCAUUUGAUCUUUUAGCCGUGUGGGUGCCCCCCUCCACCAUAGUCCACCUCGAUAAUACUGUAGCGGUGCUUAGGCGAAGCCCUGCGUCGGUAGAACAUCAUCUCGUCACCACGCCAUCGUGCUGACGAAACUCUCCCUCAACACUCGGCUGGAUCGGAGUUCGAGGGACGUCAUCGGGCUGAACGUGCGCUGAACUCGGAGGUGCCGUGCGUUCGGUACUUGAUCGGUCGGAUCGUGAAGACGUGCGACUACAUCAACCGCAUUGUGCUAAUGCUUCCGCUUUCGGUCUACGAGGGUACGCGGACAACACUCUCCCCUCUUGUUGCUAUGCAUCACCAUGAUCUUGCAUGUGCGUAGUAAAUUUUUGAAAUUACUACGUUUACCAACAGUGGCAUCCGAGCCAGGUUUUAUGCGUUGAUAUAAUAUGCAUGAGUAGAACACAAGUGAGUUGUGGGUGAUAUAAGUCAUACUUCUUACCAACAUGUCAUGCUUUGGUUCGGCGGUAUUGUUGGAUGAAGCGGCCCGGACCGACAUUACGCGUACGCUUACGCGAGACUGGUUUUACCGCCGUGCUAUGCACACAGGUGACUAACGGGUGUCAGUUUCUCCAACUUUAGUUGAACCGAGUGUGGCUACGCCCAGUCCUUGAGAAGGUUAAAACAACACUAACUUGACAAACUAUCAUUGUGGUUUUGAUGCGUAGGUAAGAACGAUUCUUUCUCAGCCCAUAGCAGCCACGUAAAACUUGCAACAACAAAGUAGAGGACGUCUAACUUGUUUUUGCAGGGCAUGCUGUGAUGUGAUAUGGUCAAGACGUGAUGAGAUAUAAGUUGUUGUAUAAGAUGAUCAUGUUUUGUUGAAGUUAUCGGCAACUGGCAGAAGCCUUAUGGUUGUCUCUUUAUAGCAUAAGAUGCAAGCGCCAAAUAAUUGCUUUACUUUAUUGCUAUGCGAUAGCAAUAGUUGCAAGAGCAAUAGUUGGCGAGACGACCAUGUGACGACACAUUGAUAUAGAUAAAGAUGAUGGAGAUCAUGGUGUCAUGCCGGUGACGAUGGAAAUCAUGACGAUGCUUUGGAGAUGGAGAUCAAAGGCACAAGAUGAUGAUGGCCAUAUCAUGUCACAUAUUUUGAUUGCAUGUGAUGUUUAUCUUUUAUACAUCUUAUUUUGCUUAGUUCGACGAUAGCUUUAUAAGAUGAUCUCUCACUAAUUAUCAAGGUACAAGUGUUCUCCCUGAGUAUGCACCAUUGCGAAAGUUCUUCGUGCUGAGAGACCACGUGAUGAUUGGGUGUGAUAGGCUCUACGUUCAAAUACAAUGGGUGCAAAAUAGUUGCACAUGCGGAAUACUCAGGUUAAACUUGACGAGCCUAGCAUAUAACAGAUAUGGCCUCGGAACACUGAGACCGAAAUGUCGAGCGUGAAUCAUAUAGUAGAUAUGAUCAACAUAGUGUUGUUCACCAUUGAAACUACUCCAUCUCACGUGAUGAUCGGACAUGGUUUAGUUGAUAUGGAUCACUUGAUCACUUAGAGGAUUAGAGGGAUGUCUAUCUAAGUGGGAGUUCUUAAGUAAUAUGAUUAAUUGAGCUUAAAUUUAUCAUGAACUUAGUCCUGGUAGUAUUAGCAUAUCUAUGUUGUAGAUCAAUAGCUCGCGUUUAGCUCCCCUGUUUUAUUUUGAUAUGUUCCUAGAGAAAACUAAGUUGAAAGAUGUUAGUAGCAAUGAUGCGGAUUGGAUCCGUGAUCUGAGGUUUAUCCUCAUUGCUGCACAGAAGAAUUAUGUCUUUGAUGCACCGCUAGGUGACAAACGUAUUGCAGGAGCAGAUGCAGAUGUUAUGAAAGUUUGGCUAGCUCAAUAUGAUGACUACUUGAUAGUUUAGUGCACCAUGCUUAAACGGCUUAGAAUCAGGACUUCAAAGACGUUUUGAACAUCAUGGACCAUAUGAGAUGUUCCAGGAGUUGAAGUUAAUAUUUCAAGCAAAUACCCGAGUUAAGAGAUGUGAACUCUCUAACAAGUUCUAUAGCUAAAAGAUAGAGGAGAAUAGCUCAAGCAGUGAGCAUGUGCUCAGAUUGUCUGGGUACUACAAUCGCUUGAAUCAAGUGGGAAUUAAUCUUCCAGAUAAAAUAGUGAUUGACAGAAUUCUCUAGUCACCAUCACCAAGUUAGUAGAACUUCGUGAUGAACUAUAAUAUGCAAGGGAUAACGGAAACGAUUCCCAAACUCUUUGUGAUGCUGAAAUCGACGAAGGUAGAAAUCAAGAAAAGCAUCAAGUGUUGAUGAUAAACAAAACCACUAGUUUCAAGUAAAGGGACAAAGGGAAGAAAGGGGAACUUCAAGAAGAACGACAAGCAAGCUGCUGCUCAAGUGAAAAAACCCAAGUCUGGACCUAAGCCUGAAACUGAGUGCUUCUACUACAAAGAGACUGGUCAUUGGAAGCGGAACUACCCCAAGUAAUUGGCGGAUAAGAAGGAUGGCAAAGUGAACAUAGGUAUUGUAACGCCCCAAGACCGGAGCUUCAGAUGCCUUCUAGGGUUUUCGGGUUUCGUCGUGUGAUUUGUUUGGUCCGUUGCAUUUCAUCUUUGCAUCAUUGCAUAUUUUGUGUUGCAUCAUGUCAUCAUGCCAUGAUCUCAUAAAUCUUUUGCAACUCAAAUAAAUAAACCGUAUGGAUUUUCAGUCCAUUUAAACCGAGGGAAUGCACAUGGUGAUUUUCUCUUUAUAACAUAUAUCCUCCCAAUAUUAUUAGGGAGCUAUAAUUAAUAUUCAAACACACUUGCAAAAUAAUUCCAUGUAUUUUAUACUUCAAGUUUGGUCCCCAAAACCUUGCCCAUAAUUUCUUUCAUCGCUUUCCCAUUCUCCACAAAAAUUCCGAACAUUUUUGGACUCUCCAAAAAUGUUUUCCUAAUUCAAACUUAUUUGAAUCACAUUCAAAUGUGUUCAAUUGCAAUCCUUCCAAACGGUGCCAAAUGUAUUUUUCUUGGAUCAAGCUCCUUUUUAUGAGUCUAAGAAAAUUGGCGCCCUGCUCAAAUUCUUCUCCUAUCUCUCUCUGCUUUUUCUUGUUUCUCGGUUUAUUUGUUUUUCAGGAAAUAAAGGAGAAAUAAGAAGAGAGGAGAGAAUAAGAGCUAGCCCGCUGGCCUCCUGGGCCUCCCAACCUCCCAUGCCGGCCACCCAAGGCCAUCCAUUCCCGCAGCCCAACCCCCUUCUAACCCUAGGCCCACCUAACCUGCUAAUGUAACACCAAUCCUGAUCGAUCCCCUCCUCCUUGUUCUCCCUGCUCGCGCCGCCAGGAGAGAGCGCCCGCGCCUGUUGCCUCAGCGCCCGAUCUGUUCUCUCCCUCGACCCCCUCGUCCUUCGUGCCCUUGUCGCUGCUCCUAGCGCCGAUGACCUCUCCAACCGUGCCAACCCCGCCGCCAAGAGCCGCCUGCCCUCUGGUCUGCCGUCUCAUGCAGCUUCACUACCGCGACACCGCGAGUCCCGCCGCUGGAGCGCAGAGCCCUCCCUCGCGCGCCGGCCACCAAUGCGGUCUCCUGCCGGCCUCGCCAAGGCCAGCGUCGCCAGCAUAGUCCUCCACUGCCUCCUCGCCAGGGUCCCUCACGGGCUCCUCCUUGUUGCCUUGCCUCGUCGCUGGAUCCUGCUCCGGCGCCGCGCCGCUGCGGCCAGGAGCUACUGCACCCUCUCGACGCGCCCCUGGCCAUGCUCCACCUCGACGCCUCGCAUCCGCAGAACUCAGCCACGGCCGCGCCAUGGCCGCCUCCCUCCUUUGCACCUGGCCUCGGCUGGAGUCGCCCCUGUCAGCAACCAGCACGACCACGAGGCUGCCCUCUCCUUCCCCUGCACAGGAGCUCGCAGCUACCACCAUCGCCUCGUUGCUGUUGGCAUCCCGAGGCCCCUUGUGCUGUUUUGUGUUGGACGUCAAGGCCACCAAGUUCGACUACGAGGAUUCGCCAAGUACCAUUCGGAUGCACCAAGUUUGACCAUAUGGACCGCCAAGUUCGACUACGAUCCUCGAGACCAUCAUGUUGCACGCCAACAUGAGUACGACCACGGACGGCUUACCUGCGGAUGGAUUUCAUCAAGUCAACAACGACCCGUGAAGCACAUGGGUACAUCAAGUUCCUCUCGGAACGUGAACGACUACCAUCGCCGAGACCGCAAGUACCACGACAACCCCGAAGGGAUUCGGGCCCGUCAAGUACCUCUUCGAAAACGAACGUGUACCCCUACUUCCAGUACCGUCACGAGAACAACUACUUCCUCUACGAACUUGAACCACUCGAGAAUGCUCCCUUGGAAGGUAUAACCACCGAGACGACGCCCGUGAACAAAUGUUGUGUGAUGUAUGAGAUGCUUGUGUUUGCACCGUGUCCGAAUUGUCACUCGUUUCCAUGCCACUAACCUGUGGGAACCCGAUAGUCGGGAGCACCCCACCAUCUCUAGCAUGUUUUGCACAUCCACACGCUUCCUUUUGCACCGGUAUCUCCAUGAGCUACCGGAACCGAUAUGUUGCCGUGGCAUCAUUUUCGGAUUCGUUGCCGUGGCACCCCUUUCUUCCACCACGGUGACAAAUGCUUCAUAACAUGCUCAUGUCAACAUUUUCAUAAAAUUGCUUAAAACUUGCAUAUGUCAUCCACAUCAUAAUAACAACAUUUAAAAUGUUUAUAUUUGUUGUUUCCAUCAAUUUGCUAAAUGCAUAUGGGGAUUUACCGGAUUUGUUGUUUGUUAUACCCGUCCCCAUUUAAAUUGUUUAGAUGUUAUAGUUUUGUUAUGCUUCACCUAUUGCCAUGUUAACCAACAUUUAAUAUUGUUGAGUACCUAACCAGGAGUGAACUAAAUAAUUGAUGUGGUGUUUCGUCAAUAUGCAACUCGUUGCAUAUUGAGCUCCACUUAACUUGUAGAGUUGUUUGUGCACUUUGCCAUGACAUGUAUCAUUAAACCGGACAUGCAUCAUACCUAGUCGUGCAUCAUGCCAUGUCUAUGUGGUGGUUGUUCACUAUGUUGUUUGCUUCUUUCCGGUGUUGCUUCUUCGGGUUGGUUCCGAUAACGUCGUGUUUGUGAGGAACCGUUCGUCUACGUCCGUUCGUCUUCUUCAUGGGCUCAUUCUUCUUCCUUGCGGGAUUUCAGGCAAGAUGAUCAUACCCUCGAAAUCACUUCUAUCUUUGCUUGCUAGAUGCUCGCUCUUUUGCUAUGCCUAUGCGGCGAUACCUACCACUUGCUUGUCAUACCUCCCAUAUUGUUGAACCAAGCCUCUAACCCACCUUGUCCUAGAAAACCGUUGUUUGGCUAUGUUACCGCUUUGCUCAGCCCCUCUUAUAGCAUUGUUAGUUGCAGGUGAAGAUUGAAGUUUGUUCCUUGUUGGGACACGGAGAUGUUGUUCCUUGUUGGAACAUGUUUACUUGUUAGGAUAUCACAAUAUCUCUUAUUUAAUUAAUGCAUCUAUAUACUUGGUAAAGGGUGGAAGGCUCGGCCUUAUGCCUGGUGUUUUGUUCCACUCUUGCCGCCCUAGGUUCCGUCAUAUCGGUGUUAUGUUCCCGGAUUUUGCGUUCCUUACGCGGUUGGGUAUAAUGGGAACCCCUUGACAGUUCGCUUUGAAUAAAACUCCUCUAGCAAGGCCCAACCUUGGUUUUAGCAUUCGCCACCUAGCCUCUUUUUCCCUUGGGUUAGGCCAGCCCAAGGGUCAUCUUUAUUUUAACCCCCCCGGGCCAGUGCUUGUCUUAGUGUUGGUCCAAACUGAGUAGACUGCGGGGCCACCUCGGGGAAACUUGAGGGAUGGUUUAACUCGUAGGAUGUCUCAUCCGGUGUUGCCCUAAGAACGAGAUAUGUGCAGCUCCCAUCAGGAUGUCGGCGCAUCGGGCGACUUUGCUGGUCUUGUUUUACCAUUGUCGAAAUGUCUUAUAACCGGGAUUCCGAGUCUGAUCGGGUCUUCCCGCUAGAAGGAAUAUCCUUCAUUGACCGUGAGAGCUUGUGAUGGGCUAAGUUGGGACACCCCUGCAGGGAUUUGAACUUUCGAAAGCCGUGCCCGCAGUUAUGGGCAGAUGGGAAUUUGUUAAUGUCCGGUUGUAGAAAACCUGAAGUUGACCUUAAUUAAAAUGCAUCAACAGCGUGUGUAACCAUGAUGGUCUCUUUCCGGCGGAGUCCGGGAAGUGAACACGGUGUUGGAGUUAUGCUUGACGUAGGUUGUUCUAGGAUCACUUCUUGAUCAUAGUUGUUCGACCGUGCUUUGCCUUCUCUUCUCGCUCUCAUUUGCGUAUGUUUAGCCACCAUAUAUGCUAGUCGCUUGCUGCAGCUCCACCUCAUACCUUUACCUUUCCCAUAAGCUUAAAUAGUCUUGAUCGCGAGGGUGUGAGAUUGCUGAGUCCCCGUGACUCACAGAUACUUCCAAAACCAGCUUGCAGGUGCCGAUGAGUCAGUGCAGAUGACGCAACCAAGCUCAGGAGGAGCUCGAUAAAGAUCUUGUCCUUUGUGUUGUUUCGUUCUAGUUGAUCAGUAGUGGAGCCCAGUUGGGGUCGAUCGGGGGACCUUGUCGCUUUUGGGGUUCUUCUUUUAUUUUGGUUCCGUAGUCGGACCUUGAUUGUAUUUGAUUGUUGUAAUGCUGUAUUCAUGUAUUGUGUGAAGUGGCGAUUGUAAGCCAACUAUGUAUCUCUUUCCCUUAUGUAUUACAUGGGUUGCGUGAAGAUUACCUCACUUGCGACAUUGCUUUCAAUGCGGUUAUGCCUCUAUUUCAUGCUUCGACACGUGGGAGAUAUAGCCGCAUCGAGGGCGUCACAAGUUGGUAUCAGAGCCUUCCCCGACCUUAGGAGCCCCAUUGCUUGAUCGAACUAGCAGCCGAGUUGAGUCUAGAAAAAAUGUUUUGAGUCAUUUAGGAAUUAUAUAUCGGAGAGUUUAGGAAUUCUUUUUACUCCCCAGUCCCUUCAUCGCUCUGGUAAGGCAUCCUGACGUAGAGUUUUGACUCUUCUCUUCUCAAAUUUCACUAAAUUUUUUUUGGAUCACGCGGGUAUCUUGGAAUCGUUCUGAUGGUUUUGUGAUGAGAACAUUGUUCUUGGUGCCUCCUGUCAUUUAGGGGUUGUGGCAGUGUCCUGGGGAGUUGAGCUCCGAGGUGUUGUCGUCAUAAUUUUAUCGUUGCAGUUCUGGAAUACCUGAGUUUUGUUUCGCCGACAUCGAAAAUUUCUUUUAUGUGGUUGUUGGUGAGAUAACCUCGAUGCCACCCAGUACUGGGGCGAGAGUUCGGGAGUAUUUCCAUAACUUGUAUAACGGAUGCUUUUCGAAGGUUGAGGUAGACGAUUUCCGAAGUUUUUCUUAGUUAUGUGUUGAAGGAUGGAUACAGCUGGAUGUAGGAUUUGCUAGAUUUGGGUGAGAUUUUAUGCUUCCCCUAUAUCCCCAACACCUGAUUGCAUAACCGAAAAGUUUCGGGAGUUUAUAAGUGGGAAUUCAAGUAGCUCUUAGGAUAUCUUUUCGACAGAUGUAUGAUACGAAAUUGGGGUUCGACGUCUAGUGGUCCGCCUAUUCACGGUUGGUUUUACAGUGGUCUUGUUGUGUCUUAAAGAGUCCUUGGCUAUGCCGAUCGGGGACGCUUCAUAUGUCAUGUGCACUGCCUUGUACAUGAUGGUGCUGUACGAUCGAGCCCGUGUAGGCCCCACCACGAAAACUUCGGACGAAAUCUCUAUCGUAUGUUUGUUCCGACUUAUUCUACAAGCCAAUCCUUUGUUUUUUGUUUUGAGUUGUGGUAUUCGAGUUGCUUCAAAGUCAAAUGUUGAUUCCAUAUUUUUCCUAAGCGGUGUUCUCAUACUCUUAUGCAAAUACUGAACCUUCAUGAUAAUCGAGACUGUCAUGUCAAUCCUUUUCAACUGGUGUGCUUCUCUUCAAGUGGAUCUGAUCAUUUCAACUUCCGCAAGAUCAAUUAUCACUUCUUCUCAACGGUGUUUGUUUCAUCCGUCUCCAAGUUGCCUUUGUUUUCCCGCCCACCCACCCUUUUUUCCUCAAGGACUCGGAUUUCUUAAUCAAGCAUCCUUUUAUUCUUGUGAAGUCUCUUGAUUCUUUUCUUUGAAUGUUCUACCCGGUGGUUCACAUGAAGAUGCUCUUCUAGUUUGUCAUUCCUCACUCAUUUUUCAUCUCCGGUGGUUUCAAGUCAAGCUUUGUUGAUCAUAUCCUUUCCUUGUUUCAAUGUUUUCUCAUGCCGGUGCAAUUCUUAAUCAUUCACCUCUCGCUAUUCAAUUGUUCCGGAGUGCCGAAGAUAUCUCAGAAGGAUCGUCUUGUCAUUCAAGAUCCGUUAAUCCUAUUUUGAGGAUGUUUAUCUCAUUCAAGCCUUUUAAUUCAACCGGUGCAACCUCUCUUUUAAAUCAUUCAAUGGUGUUUUAUUUUGAAUGGGCCCUAACCCACAGGUCUUUUCCCAGGAUCUUACCUGACUCUUCUUAUUUCCCGGAGCUAUCCUCAAAUUUCUUUUCGAAGUUUGACGUAAGAAUGAUUUAUCAUCAGUCAAAUGUCUUUCUCCAAGAUCUUCCAAAUACUUUUCAUCAUUGGUUCAACUUUUCUAUUCUUCUCUAUUCCGGAGUUUCUAAAUAAUUGAUGGUGGUAUAUCUCGUCGUCAUUCUCGGAGAUUUGAAGACCGAAGGAGAGUUUUAACUCCAUAUCUUAUCCGUUCUCUCAGAGAUUCAGGGUUCUAGCGUAAUGCCAUCCUCUCAUAAUUGUUUUGAUUGUGGGUAUUCUUUUCACCUAUCCGGAGCUUUUCAUGAGUUGUUUCCAUUUCUUUACUCCGAAGGCCAUCAUUUCAGGAUUAUCCAUUUCAGCUUUCAGCUCUCAUUCUUCAAAAAUCUUACCGGUGCUUCGUUCAAGUUUUUCUCUAAUCAAUUCACGAUCUCUUCGUUCACUUGCAUCUAAACUCUCUCAAGUAUCUUCGUCUCAUCUUCUAAUUGUUUCUGGUGAAUUAUACUUUUGCUUUUUCCUUGAGCUAUUCUUACGGUGGUUUGCCCAAGAUUCUAUUCCAUGGUUAUCAUAUCAAUUCAGUCGUUGUUUCAAUUCUACCGGUGGUUCGUUCAAGAGUUUUCUUCCUUCGUGUAUCAUGUCUAUGCAUUCAUGCUUUUCAAAUUCUACCGGUGGUUCAUUGAAGACCUUCUCAAGUUUGUGCUAUAUCUCUCUUAAUCUUUCUACGAGGAUAAGUAGUAUGCCAAAUCCGUUGCUUGUCAGCAAUUAAAUUGUUGAAGGAUACGCAUAAUGUAAUUCCUAUUCUUGUUUCAUCGACUAAAUUCAAUUCCUUAUUCCGGAGGCUCAUCAAAUUCUUGUUUCCAUUUGUUCAUCUUUCUUUUCCAGAGUGCCAAGUUUUCUCUUUAUCUCGUUGCUAAGCUUCAUCUAAAGCAUUACAAGGUUUCACCUUGUGUUUUUUUUCGACCUCUCUUUUCUUCCGUUUUGAUCAUCCUUUUAUUACCGGAGUUCUUCAUGGAGGUUCUACAUAAUGGUUCAUCAAGGAUUUAAUUUUCUUCUCAAAGUUUUUCAUUGAGAUUCUUUUAAGGAGCUCAAGCAUUCUUCAUCUUGCAAUCCGGAGUGCAAUUUCUUUCAACAGUAUCAUUGGAGGUGGUUUUACAUCAUUCUUGAUUAAUUUGAGUUCAUGCUUCAUGAUUCACACAUUGUUAAGAAUGAGGUAUUUUAAAUCCAUCAACCUAUUCGUUGGAAUUGUUUUGGGUUAUAUUUCACCUAAAGCCUUCCCUGAGUAUUGUUGCUAUCCAUGGUGCUUAUAAAGGACCCAAGAUCUUCUUUAUCCUCCCGGUGGAAAUAUUUUCUCGUCUCCUUGUUCUUAUCAAUCCAAUUCUUUUCCAAUGAGUGGCAGGUUGGCACCUCAUAAUUUGAGAUGUAUUCCAUAAGACCAUAUCAAGCUUAUUCUUUUCGUUGUUGGUUUUCCAACAACUCCGUUCUAACAUUUGUUGUAAGCGUGCUCUCGUUUUUUUAUUCCCUUCGUUCAUUCCAUUAUUACAUUUGUUCCGGAGGCAUUGUGAUGUUGCUCUCUUCAACCCAUCUUCUUGUUUUAUCAGGAUCGUGUUCUUUUCGUGCUUAUCCUUUUAACCGGAGUGUUGUGUCCUCUUUUCAAGUAUCCUCUCAUCUUGUCUAGUUCAAUUCCUUCCAUUUACAGGCGGAGUGCUGUCCAAAUUAUAUCAUUCUUAUUCCUUCCCUAUCUUGUUUUAACCGGAGUAUUGUGCCCCUUUGUUCAAGUUCUUUUCGCCUUAUCAAGCCUUGCAUCUCUUUUCAACCGGAGUGUUGUCCGACUUUGUUCUUCCUCGUUCCUCUUUCCUAACGGAGUGAUUUCAAUUUCGUUCAUCUCCGUUGUAUUCUUUUCUCGAAAUGGCUUAACCUUUUCAAGGUUCUUUGGUUUCACUCGUUUCUCAAAGAAGCAACUUAGUUUUACCUCUUCUCUUUCUCUUCCGUUUUUUCCCUCCGGUGCCAUUCUAGAUCUCGGGACGAGAACCUCUCGUAGUGGUGGAGUGUUGUAACGCCCCAAGACCGGAGCUUCAGAUGCCUUCCAGGGUUUCCGGGUUUCGUCGUGUGCUUUGUUUGGUCCGUUGCAUUUCAUCUUUGCAUCAUUGCAUAUUUUGCGUUGCAUCAUGUCAUCAUGCCAUCAUCUCAUAAAUCUUUUGCAACUCAAAUAAAUAAACCGUAUGGAUUUUCAGUCCAUUUAAACCGAGGGAAUGCACAUGGUGAUUUUCUCUUUAUAACAUAUAUCCUCCCAAUAUUAUUAGGGAGCUAUAAUUAAUAUUCAAACACACUUGCAAAAUAAUUCCAUGUAUUUUAUACUUCAAGUUUGGUCCCCAAAACCUUGCCCAUAAUUUCUUUCAUCGCUUUCCCGUUCUCCACAAAAAUUCGGAACAUUUUUGGACUCUCCAAAAAUGUUUUCCUAAUUCAAACUUAUUUGAAUCACAUUCAAAUGUGUUUGAUUGCAAUCCUUCCAAACGGUGCCAAAUGUAUUUUUCUUGGAUCAAGCUCCUUUUUAUGAGUCUAAGAAAAUUGGCGCCCUGCUCAAAUUCUUCUCCUAUCUCUCUCUGCUUUUUCUUGUUUCUCGGUUUAUUUGUUUUUCAGGAAAUAAAGGAGAAAUAAGAAGAGAGGAGAGAAUAAGAGCUAGCCCGCUGGCCUCCUGGGCCUCCCAACCUCCCAUGCCGGCCACCCAAGUCCAUCCAUUCCCGCAGCCCAACCCCCUUCUAACCCUAGGCCCACCUAACCUACUAAUGUAGCACCAAUCCUGAUCGAUCCCCUCCUCCUUGUUCUCCCUGCUCGCGCCGCCAGGAGAGAGCGCCCGCGCCCGUUGCCUCAACGGUCGAUCCGUUCUCUCCCUCGACCCCCUCGUCCUUCGCGCCCUUGUCGCUGCUCCUAGUGCCGACGACCUCUCCAACCGUGCCAACCCCGCCGCCAAGAGCCGCCUGCCCUCCGGUCUGCCGUCUCGUGCAGCUUCACUACCACGACUCCGCGAGUCCCGCCGCUGGAGCGUAGAGCCCUCCCUCGCGCGCCGGCCACCGACGCGGUCUCCUGCCGGCCUCGCCAAGGCCAGCGUCGCCAGCAUCGUCCUCCACUGCCUCCUCGCCAGGGUCCCUCGCGGGCUCCUCCUCGUUGCCUUGCCUCGUCGCUGGACCCUGCUCCGGCGAGCUGCUGCACCCUCUCGACGCGCCCCUGGCCAUGCUCCACCUCGACACCUCGCAUCCGCAGAACCCGGCCACGGCCGCGCCAUGGCCGCCUCCCUCCUUUGCACCUGGCCUCGGCUGGAGUCGCCCCUGUCAGCAACCAGCACGACCACGAGGCUGCCCUCUCCUUCCCCUGCACAGGAGCUCGCAGCUACCACCAUCGCCUCUUUGCUGUUGGCAUCCCGAGGCCCCUUGUGCUAUUUUGUGUUGGACGUCAAGGCCACCGAGUUCGACUACGAGGAUUCGCCAAGUACCAUUCGGAUGCACCAAGUUCGACCAUAUGGACCGCCAAGUUCGACUAUGAUCCUCGAGACCAUCAUGUUGCACGCCAACAUGAGUACAACCACGGACGGCUUACCUGCGGAUGGAUUUCGUCAAGUUCAACGACGACCCGUGAAGCACAUGGGUACGUGAAGUUCCUCUCCGAACGUGAACGACUACCAUCACCGAGACCGCAAGUACCACGACAACCCCGAAGGGAUUCAGACCCGUCAAGUACCUCUUCGAAAACGAACGUGUACCCCUACUUCCAGUACCGUCACAAGAACAACUACUUCCUCUACGAACUCGAACCACUCGAGAAUGCUCCGUUGGAAGGUAUAACCACCGAGACGACGCCCGUGAACGAAUGUUGUGUGAUGUAUGAGAUGCUUGUGUUUGCACCAUGUCCGAAUUGUCACUCGUUUCCAUGCCACUAACCCGUGGGAACCCGGUAGUCGGGAGCAGCCCACCAUCUCUAGCAUGUUUCGCACAUCCACACGCUUCCUUUUGCACCGGUAUCUCCAUGAGCUACCGGAACCGAUAUGUUGCCGUAGCAUCAUUUUCGGAUUCGUUGCCGUGGCACCCCUUUCUUCCACCACAGUGACAAAUGCUUCAUAACAUGCUCAUGUCAACAUUUUCAUAAAAUUGCUUAAAACUUGCAUAUGUCAUCCACAUCAUAAUAACAACAUUUAAAAUGUUUAUAUUUGUUGUUUCCAUCAAUUUGCUAAAUGCAUAUGGGGAUUUACCGGAUUUGUUGUUUGUUAUAUCCGGCCCCAUUUAAAUUGUUUAGAUGUUAUAGUUUUGUUAUGCUUCACCUAUUGCCAUGUUAACCAACAUUUAAUAUUGUUGAGUACCUAACCGGGAGUGAACUAAAUAAUUGAUGUGGUGUUUCGUCAAUAUGCAACUCGUUGCAUAUUGAGCUCCACUUAACUUGUAGAGUUGUUUGUGCACUUUUCCAUGACAUGUAUCAUUAAACCGGACAUGCAUCAUACCUGGUCGUGCAUCAUGCCAUGUCUAUGUGGUGGUUGUUCACUAUGUUGUUUGCUUCUUUCCGGUGUUGCUUCUUCGGGUUGGUUCCGAGAACGUCGUGUUUGUGAGGAACCGUUCGUCUACGUCCGUUCAUCUUCUUCAUGGGCUCGUUCUUCUUCCUUGCGGGAUUUCAGGCAAGAUGAUCAUACCCUCGAAAUCACUUCUAUCUUUGCUUGCUAGAUGCUCGCUCUUUUGCUAUGCCUACGCGGCGAUACCUACCACUUGCUUGUCAUACCUCCCAUAUUGUUGAACCAAGCCUCUAACCCACCUUGUCCUAGCAAACCGUUGUUUGGCUAUGUUACCGCUUUGCUCAGCCCCUCUUAUAGCGUUGUUAGUUGCAGGUGAAGAUUGAAGUUUGUUCCUUGUUGGGACACGGGAUGUUGUUCCUUGUUGGAACAUGUUUACUUGUUGGGAUAUCACAAUAUCUCUUAUUUAAUUAAUGCAUCUAUAUACUUGGUAAAGGUUGGAAGGCUCAGCCUUAUGCCUGGUGUUUUGUUCCACUCUUGCCGCCCUAGUUUCCAUCAUAUCGGUGUUAUGUUCCCGGAUUUUGUGUUCCUUACGCGGUUGGGUAUAAUGGGAACCCCUUGACAGUUCGCUUUGAAUAAAACUCCUCUAGCAAGGCCCAACCUUGGUUUUACCAUUCGCCACCUAGCCUCUUUUUCCCUUGGGUUAGGCCAGCCCAAGGGUCAUCUUUAUUUUAACCCCCCCGGGCCAGUUCUUGUCUAAGUGUUGGUCCGAACUGAGUAGACUGCGGGGCCACCUCGGGGAAACUUGAGGGCUGGUUUAACUCGUAGGAUGUCUCAUCCGGUGUUGCCCUGAGAACGAGAUAUGUGCAGCUCCCAUCAGGAUGUCAGCGCAUCGGGCGGCUUUACUGGUCUUGUUUUACCAUUGUCGAAAUGUCUUGUAACCGGGAUUCCGAGUCUGAUCGGGUCUUCCCGCUAGAAGGAAUAUCCUUCGUUGAUCGUGAGAGCUUGUGAUGGGCUAAGUUGGGACACCCCUGUAGGGAUUUGAACUUUCGAAAGCCAUGCCCGCGGUUAUGGGCAAAUGGGAAUUUGUUAAUGUCCGGUUGUAGAAAACCUGAAGUUGACCUUAAUUAAAAUGCAUCAACCGCGUGUGUAACCGUGAUGGUCUCUUUCCGGCGGAGUCCGGGAAGUGAACACGGUGUUGGAGUUAUGCUUGACGUAGGUUGUUCUAGGAUCACUUCUUGAUCAUAGUUGUUCGACCAUGCUUUGCCUUCUCUUCUCGCUCUCAUUUGCGUAUGUUUAGCCACCAUAUAUGCUAGUCGCUUGCUGCAGCUCCACCUCAUACCUUUACCUUUCCCAUAAGCUUAAAUAGUCUUGAUCGCGAGGGUGUGAGAUUGCUGAGUCCCCGUGACUCACAUAUACUUCCAAAACCAGCUUGCAGGUGCCGAUGAGUCAGUGCAGAUGACGCAACCAAGCUCAGGAGGAGCUCGAUAAAGAUCUUGUCCUUUGUGUUGUUUCGUUCGAGUUGAUCAGUAGUGGAGCCCAGUUGGGGUCGAUUGGGGGACCUUGUCGCUUUUGGGGUUCUUCUUUUAUUUUGGUUCCGUAGUCGGACCUUGAUUGUAUUUGAUUGUUGUAAUGAUGUAUUCAUGUAUUGUGUGAAGUGGCGAUUGUAAGCCAACUAUGUAUCUCUUUCCCUUAUGUAUUACAUGGGUUGCGUGAAGAUUACCUCACUUGCGACAUUGCUUUCAAUGCGGUUAUGCCUCUAUUUCGUGCUUCGACACGUGGGAGAUAUAGCCGCAUCGAGGGCGUCACAGGUAUAUUCGAUAUACAUGUUAUUGAUGUGUACUUUACUAGUGUUUAUAGCAACCCCUCAGUAUUUGAUACUAGUUCAGUUGCUAAGAAUAGUAACUCGAAACGGGAGUUGCAGAAUGAACAAAGACUAGUUAAGGGUGAAGUGACGAUGUGUAUUGGAAAUGGUUCCAAGAUUGAUAUGAUCAUCAUCGCACACUCCCUAUACUUUCGGGAUUAGUGUUAAACCUAAAAUAAAUGUUAUUUAGUGUUUGCGUUGAGCAUGAAUAUGAUUGGAUCAUGUUUAUUGCAAUACGGUUAUUCAUGUAAGUUAGAGAAUAAUCGUUGUUCUGUUUACAUGAGUAAAACCUUCUAUGGUCAUUCACCCAAUGAAAAUGGUUUGUUGGAUCUCGAUCAUGGUGAUACACAUUUUCAUAAUAUUGAAGCCAAAAGAUGCAAAGUAAAUAAUAAUAGUGCAACUUAUUUGUGGCACUGCCGUUUAGGUCAUGUCAGUAUAAAGCGCAUGAAGAAACUCCAUACUAAUGGAGUUUUUGAACCACUUGAUUAUGAAUCACUUGGUACUUGCGAACUGUGCCUCAAGGGCAAGAUGACUAAAACGCCGUUCUCCAGAACUAUGGAGCGAGCAACAGAUUUGUUGCAAAUCAUACAUACAGAUGUGUGUGGUCUGAUUAAUAUUAAGGCUCGCGACGGGUAUCAUUAUUUUCUGAUCUUCAUAGAUGAUUUGUGCAGAUAUGAGUAUAUCUACUUGAUGAAACACAAGUCUGAAACAUUUGAAAAGUUCAAAGAAUUUCAGAGUGAAGUGGAGAAUCAUUGUAACAAAAAUAAAAGUUUCUACGAUAUGAUCGCAGAAGUAAAAUAUUUGAGUUACGAGUUUGGCCUUCAAUUAAAACAAUGUGAAAUAGUUUCACUACUCACGCCACCUGGAACACCACAGUGUAAUGGUGUGUUCGAACGCCGUAACCAUACUUUAUUAGAUAUGGUGCGAUCUAUGAUGUCUCUUACCAAUUUACCAUUAUCGUUUUGGGGUUAUGCAUUAGAGACAGCUACAUUCACGUUAAAUAGGGCACCAUCUAAAUCCGUUGAGACGACAUCGUAUGAACUAUGGUUUGGCAAGAAACCUAAGCCGUCGUUUCUUAAAGUUUGAGGUUGUAAUGCUUAUGUGAAAAAGUUUCAACCUGAUAAGCUCAAACCCAAAUCGGAGAAGUGCGUCUUCAUAGGAUACCCAAAAGAAAAUGUUGGAUACACCUUCUAUCACAGAUCCGAAGGCAAGAUAUUCAUUGCUGAGAAUGGAUCCUUUCUAGAGAAGGAGUUUCUCUCGAAAGAAGUGAGUAGGAGGAAAGUAUAACUUGAUGAGGUAACUGUACCUGCUCCCUUAUUGGAAAGUAGUUCAUCACAGAAAUCUGUUCCUGUGACUACUACACUAAUUAGUGAGGAAGCUAAUGAUGAUGAUCAUGUAACUUCAGAUCAAGUUACUACCGAACCUCGUAGGUAAACCAGAGUGAGAUCUGCACCAGAGUGGUGCAGUAAUCCUGUUCUAGAGGUCAUGUUACUUGACCAUGACGAACCUACGAACUAUGAGGAAGCGAUGAUGAGGCCAGAUUCCGCGAAAUGGCUUGAGGCCAUGAAAUCUGAGAUGAGGUCCAUGUAUAAGAACAAAGUAUGGACUUUGAAUUGACUUGCCCAAAGAUCGGCGAGCCAUUGAGAUUUAAUGGAUCUUCAAGAGGAAGACAGACGCUGAUAGUAGUGUUACUAUCUACAAAGCUAGAAUUGUUGCAAAAGGUUUUGGACAAGUUCAAGGUGUUGACUACGAUGAGAGUUUCUCACUCGUAUCUAUGCUUAAGUCUGUCUGAAUCAUGUUAGCAAUUGCCACAUUUAUGAAAUCUGGCAAAUGGAUAAACAAAACUACAUUCCUUAAUGGAUUUAUUAAAGAAGAGUUGUAUAUGAUGCAACAAGAAAGUUUUGUCAAUCCUAAAGGUGCUAACAAAAUAUGCAAGCUCCAGCGAUCCAUCUAUGGACUGGUGCAAGCAUCUCGGAGUUGGAAUAUACGCUUUGAUAAGUUGAUCAAAUCAUAUAGUUUUAUACAGACUUGCGGUGAAGCCUGUAUUUACAAGAAAGUGAGUGGGAGCACUACAACAUUUCUGAUAAGUAUAUGUGAAUGACAUAUUGUUGAUCGGAGAUAAUGUAGAAUUAUUCUGCAAAGCAUAAAGGAGUGUUUGAAAGGAGUUUUUCAAAGAAAGACAUAAGUGAAGCUGCAUACAUAUUGAGCAUCAAGAUCUAUAGAGAUAGAUCAAAAUGCUUGAUAAGUUUUUCAAUGAGUACAUACCUUGACAAGAUUUUGAAGUAGUUCAAAAUGGAACAGUCAAAGAAAGAGUUCUUGCCUGUGUUACAAGGUGUGAAACUGAGUAAGACUCAAAGCCUGACCACAACAGAAGAUAGAAAGAGAAUGAAAGUCAUUCCCUAUGCCUUGGCCAUAGGUUCUAUAAAAUAUGCCAUGCUGUGUACCAGAUCUAUUAUAUACCCUACACUGUUUUUGGCAAGGGAGUACAAUAGUGAUCUAGGAGUAGAUAAUUGGACAGCGGUCAAAAUUAUCCUUAGUGGAAUAAGGAUAUGUUUCUCGAUUAUGGAGGUGAAAAAAAA
rnacentral:lncRNA from 1 species